rnacentral:lncRNA from 1 species
AGAGACGUCGACCGCCUUUCGCCAAAUUCUAGGUCUUACCGACCUACUAUCAUAGUUCAUUCAGAACUCCUCGCAAACUACAGAAACCCAUACGACUUUGACCCAGCAAGGGGUGGCCUUUGUCUGGGAAGUUAAACAAGAAAAAGAAACCUUGGAGAUUCCAAGUGAGUGACCAAAUUCUUUAUGAAGUCUCACUCGGGAACGGCUUAAUACGCCUCGUAAAGCGUGGAAAGCUAAAUCCAAGAUAGACAGGACCUCCGAGAUUCUUAUCAGAAUUGGUCCUGUGCCUCGCAAAAACUAGACCUACUCCGCGAACUUAGUAACGUACAUUCUACUCUUCGCGUCUCUAUCGUGAAACCAUACCUUUCUGUUAGGACUCUUGUAGGUCCACUCGUCGAGAUCCUUGCCUUCGUAUUAGAACCUUAGUGACCCUCGACCGAGAGGUCAAGCGGACGAAGCAGCGCCAUCGCCUGAUAGUGAAGGUUUGUUGGGAUUCCAAUCGAGAACCUGAUUUCACUUAGGUACGCUAGAACCAAUCGAUUAGGAAGUUUCCUCCUCACGACUCGAUCAUUCGUACAUACUUCCUUGCCUAAAUUCAAAUUUCGGGACGAAAUCCCCUUCAAUAGGGGGAUGAUGUGGCAACCCGAAAUUUCCAUUCUAAACAAACCCUUUGAAGCCAAUAGAAGUAGAACAGUUACAGUGAAAAUUCAGAUUUCGAGUAUAAGUUUGGUAGUGUUCAGGAUUUUACACUUAGGAGAGUGGAUGCACUAGGGUUUUGUGCAACACUGUUAUUCCAAUACUCUAGGACAUUGGAAUUCGUUUCAGGAAUAAAAAUAUUUUCUGCCAAAAAUAACUCAGGACUAUAAAUAGAAUUUUGAACCAAAUAGUUCAUUAGUUACAUUUCCAAUUAGAGAAAAGCCAAAAUUCUCUCUCACGAAUCUUCGGGUUUUGAUCCCAAAUUGUGAGUAACUCUUUCUAGUAGUGUUAGAAAGCUUUAAAUGUGUUCAUAACAUAGAGUACAUAGCUAAAUCAUUCGAUUUAGGAGUUUACUCCCCAAGGUGUUCUUGGGCGGUAAACUUCCGAAACCAAGCCUAGAUUGUCCCCCGUGAGUUGUAACUACCUUGGACUUGUAUAGGAGUGUGUUAGAGACAUGAAAACAAGAAAGAAUCACCCAUGUUUGGACUUCUCUUUCCUUUUGCUACAUUGAAAUGACACCUCAAAGCUUAGAACACUCACAAACAAGCUAUGAACGAAGGAACAACUCUCUUAGGGUUUCUUUCUGAAGGAUGCUGGCUGAGGAACCAAGCCAUCUCAUUCCUUUUAUAGCCAACAACUCAAAUUAGGGUUUUGGGUCUGGACCGGUUACGCCCAGCGUAACCUUAGGUAUGCCCAGCGUACCCGGGUGACAACGCGUUCAAUUUAAGCGCGCGAGUACGCGCAGCGUACUCUUUGUACGCCCAGCGUACUCGCCCCAACACAAAAGGGCCAACAUGACAUAUAUGAAAAGAUGAAGGGCUAAAAGGUUAUACCUGAAUUUCGGGCUGUUACACACAAUGCUGAAGGUUUUUCGAGAAAAUCAUUUUAAUUUUUCAAUCAAAAUCAUGUUUAUUAGUGAAUUUCUUUUACCCGGUCGACGGGAUGGGCUUGGAGAAGAGGAAGCAACAGGGAUACAAUAGGGUAAUGAUGGUGUUAAACAAAUGAAUAAGUUUAAUCCAUUUAUGGUAAAUUUAGUUUAAUUCUUAUCUCUUUACUUACAAAAUAAAUAAACUAUAAUUAAUUUGAUAACUUUUAAAACUUAGAUUUGUUUACUCAAUAAUUUUUAUGUUAUCAUAUAUUAUUAUUGAUGAUAACUAAAAUUAAAAGAAUAUCAAACAUACUUUUCCAACAUAUAUACAUCUAAACUAAAAUGGUUAUAUAUAUAUAUAUAUANAAAUUCUGAAACCCUAGCCCAUAUGACUUAAUUCCAUUACCCUCAUACCCUAACCCAUAUGACUUAGUGCCAUAACCCUUUAACCCUAACCCAUACGACUUAAUGUCAUAACCCUUAAAUACUAACCCAUACAACUUAAUGCUAUAACCCUUAAGCUCAUGACCUCUGUGAAAUGUCUUAACCUUUAAACCAUAAACCAUAUGACUUAUAGCCAAAACCCCCUAACCCAUGACCCAUUGGACUCAUUGUGAGUCGGUGUGAGGAUAGGUCAGGGUGUUUCUAGUAUGAUGUUUGUUUCGAUUGGUUUGAAAUAAUUUUAUCUUUUUUAUGUCAUUUUUGUUUGUUGUAAGCUUUAUGCAAAAAUAAUGUUAUUGUACUUCGUUUUUGUUAUGAAUUUAUUUAGUUAUGAACAUAUAUUUUUGAAUUGAUUGUUGAACAUGUGUGUUUGUAUUUACAUAUUAUAAAAAAAUUGUAUUAAUUUAUAGAGAAAAUUUUGAAAUAAUAAUUAAAAAUUAUAAAAACAGAAUAAAAAUUUAAUUCUAAAAGAGAGUUUACCAUGACAGUUUUUUUAGAUAAAUUGGUUUUAAAUAAUUAAAUAAAAUAUCAGUCCCUAUUUUAAUUGAUGUGUUUUGAAAGAAUACCCAUAUAAAUAAAAUAUGAACCAAUGUAUUUAGAAGGAGAAUUAGGUCAUUUUCUCCAUAAUCAAUGGGUUUUAUAAAGCGCAUCCUUUAAUUGACCAAUUCUAUUUUCAAAGAGAUUUAAGUUUUUUGAAUUAAUAAAUGUGAAAAAAUACCCUUACCAUUAAAAAAUAAAGCAUUGUAUUAUAAGGGCAAUUAGGUCAUUUCACACUCUACCUGUUUAGACACAACAAUUUGGUGUUAUCCGUCACCCUGGCCAUUCAGUUUUCGACGAUCGAGCAACUUGAAGCAUUCCCAUUCCAGAACAUCAAUAUUCCGACAUAGUGAAUAACCCUAAAAGCUUUCUUGUUUUGUAAUCUUUAUCACUUUCGAAGUAGAUGAACAUCAUGUCAUCGAGUGAUUCAUCAAGAAAGUGAAGAAGGCAUCAAGGAACAUCGAUUACUUCUGUACCAUCGCACCUGGGAAUAAAUCACUAAUCGAUGCUUUCAAGUGUCGGAUAGUGUAAGUUCCGUGUAUAUUACAUCUAUUACAUGUAUAUAUAUAUAUAUAUAUAUAUAUAUAUAUAUAUAUAUAUAUAUGUAUACACUUACAUGGAUACUUGUACCUAGAUUCAUUAGGAUGAUUUACUAGUACAUUAUGUGUAANAAUUUUGUGUUUAAUAGAUGAAUUUUGUGUGUAAGUUAUAGUUGCAAAUUCUUUAGAGAAUCUGCAAAAUCGGAAGUAAUAUUUAAAAUCAUUGAUACAAAUUGGUUAACAUUUCGCCCAUUUAGUAUCCAUUAGUAUGAUGUCCUCCUCAAAUGAAAUUUUUUAAAAAACCUACAUAGUCUUUAAAUAUGGAAUGGUACUCUUUUUCUGUGCAUUCUAUUAAUUAAACAAUUUAUUAUUGUUUUGUAUUUCUUUAUAUUAAAUUUGUUUGAUUGCUUAAUGUAUUUCAGGCUAAUUUUUUUUUUUUUUUUGUGAGAAGAUGAGCCUGGGAAUAAGAUGCUUCAAGAUGUAACUGACAAGGGAAAUAUUGAUGCAAUAUUCAUAUUGGGAAUGAUUCUGAUGGCGGAAGGCGAACAGAUGAAGCAAGAAGCUCUGGUCAUGUUGAAUAAGGCGUAUAUUAGUACAAGAUGAAGUUUGUCACACCCCAAAACCGAGAACGGUGGAAACGUUCUGGGGCGGAGGACGUCAUGUAAUGUGUCACAACAUGGUAGUGGUAAACAAGCAUACAACAUCAUCCAUUGCAUUAAAUAUAUAAUUUUAAUACAAGCGUGUUCUGUACAGUUUUAGACACCAAAAAUAUAAUGUAAAUCAAAAUAAUAAGAUGAGUCUUGGAUGCGCUCCAUCUUCUCAAAAGCUGGUCUCGGUACCUGUCUACUGAUAACCUGAGAAUACAAGUUAUUUUGAAAGCGAGUAUCAGCAUUAAGCUGGUGAGUUCAUAAGUAUUUUAGUGUCGGUGUUUGUUAUCAAAAUGUUUGAACAUGUCUCAAGUGUAAGUUUGUAAAAUGUAUGUAAGUGUUUGUAAAAGUUUGAAUCUCUCAGAAAAACCUAUAUUUUCUAUUAAAGUAGCCUUCUACCAAGGCUUAGCUGGUUUGUAUGCGUGUUUGUUGUAAAAGUGUGUAAUUUCCCAAGUGUAACUGUCAUUAAAAAAAUAUAGUUUGUACAUUAAUGUUUAAGUGAAAUAAUCACUAAAUGUAUGUAAUGGGUAAAUUAAUGUAGUACUGUAGUGUUGUAUUAUAGAAACUACUGCUGUACUAACUACCUUAAACCUGAUUUAUAUUAAGGUAUUAUGUGAUUAAUUGUACCAUACUAUCGACUGAGUAACAACGACAAAUGUAGCUCGUAAAAAGGUAUGACGUUUGGCACCCGCAGACUUGUAGGUCCGGCUGUAGCUAGCAGCAAGGUGUAGGAUAGUCAAUCCAGUAUAGAUAUAUACGCAAACUCACGCUCUCCCUCCAAGAAAUUCUGGUUACAACUCGGGCUAUGACAUUUAAGGCAUGCCCUAUACAGUGGAUCACAAUUGUAAACGUAUUCAUGUAUAGGUAAUGUAAUGUUACUUGUUCUAGUAUCGUUGUAUAUGUUCUCUUACUAGUAUAGUUGUGUAUGUUCCCUUUCUAGUAUAGGUUGUAAAUGUUCUCAUAGUAAUGCAAUGUAUAUGUUCUCAUAGUUAAUAAGUAUUGACUCAUGAAUGAACUGACUCAUUGAUCUAGAAUUUGUAGAAGUAUGAUCCUGUGUUACCCCGAUGGUAACUUACUGAUGAUGUAACUGAUACACAUGAAUAUGGAAGUACUUUUAUGUCUAUAUAUGCACAUAUGAUAUAUAAUUAAUAGUGAAAUGACACUCGGACGGCUACCCGACAUCCCACCAGACCACAUCCAAAUCGAGGAAAAGGAAAUAGGGCGGAUGACCUUCCUAAGUCUUUUAAACAUUUCUUAUAUAUCUAUGCAUAUAUGGACAUGCAAUUUAUAAAAAGUGUAAUAAAGUUUAAGAAAAAGUAUUUUAUAAAUAAAAGUGUUUGUAAAACAUUUUGAAGUAAAACAAUUUGAUAAACAGUAUAAACAGUUUGAACAGUGAUAAAAUCAUUGGUUUUCUAGUUAUUAAUCACAUGUGAUUGAUGUAAUAAGUAUAAGUAUUUAGCUUGUAUUCCCCCCAUAUAAAAGUAUUUUAAACAUUUAAAAGUAUUUCAAAGGUUAAUUAAAGGGGUAUGAACUCACCUAUAGUGAGUGGUUCUGAUGACAAUGUUGGAUUAGACGCUAAGUGCCAAGUGGUGACUUGAGUACAAGCGCGGAUCCUAUUUAGCAUAUAUUGGUACAUAUAUGGAUUUAAUUAGUGUUAUGAACAACUAAUUGAUGAUUUUGGGACCACCUUAGGGACUAGUAAACACUUAUAAUGAAGUGUUAUAAUCAUAUAUGAUUGUAUGAGGGUUUAUAAGGCUAUACAAGAGGGUGUAUGGCCAAAAUACACACUAUAUGUGUGUGCGGCCAACACAUGUGUGCGGCCUUGUGUGCGGCCAUGUGUGCUGCUAGGUGGUGUGUGCUGCCAUGUGUGCGGCCAGAUGAAGAUCUUGGUGUUCUUGGUGUUCUUGGUACCUUUUAUGAAGAUCUUCAAGGAGAAUGGAUGAUACUUGAGAGGAUUUUCGUGUUCUAUGCUUGAAGAAGUGAAGGAAGGGUUCAAGAAUGAUCUAAGUGUGGCAUAUAUAGGUGGAGUGUGCGGUUGGGAAGGUGUGAGGCCGCAAACAAGAGUGUGUGGCCGCACACUCAAGUGUAUGGCCGCACACUCCAUGUGUUGGAGUGUUUGGCCCGGUUUUGAUUCCUACACUUCGAGUUAACCCUUCUUAACACUCCUACCUUGAUUAUAUCACANUUGGAAUCCAAAGGAAACGUUUUAAAGGGUUCGAAGCCACUUGUUGUUGAUGGGUUUUGAGCAUUCUAACACUUCCUAAGUGUACAUGCAACCCUAAUAACCAUGGAUCUAUGUUUGCCUAAUUAUCAUGCAAAGUUGAAUUCCAAGGUUAUAUUCCUAUCUAGCAUACAUAGGGAAUAAUUUUUAACUUGAAUGAAAGAUAGAAUAACUUACCUUGUUAUUGCUUAUGUUCCUUGAAACCUUCUGAGCCUAUCACCCCAAGUGUGAUGCCUUAAAUGCUUCACACAACACCAAAUGCUCUUGGAAAGACUUUUGAGAGAACACACACUUCUUAAAAUCGGUCUAGCCCUCUUGUUUCAUAUGUGUAGCCGCUUUUGGUGGAGAAUGGGACUCUUAUAUAGUGUUGACACAUCUAGGGUUACACCAUGUAAACCCUAAUGUGUCAUGAGUCUUCAUUUCCAUGACCGAUGGGUUUGAAACUCCCAUGGAGCAUCCACGGAGCAUCCUAUGGGUGGUACCCAACUUGAUAAUCCAUGGAGGCUCUUAGUCCACUAUACAAGAUAUUGAUGAUUUACAUAAUCAACCCAUAUAUUUAAUUAGUUAUCUUUUGAUCACUUAAUUAAUUCUAAAUUAAUUCUUUAUCAAACUAAUCAAAUAAUAUUAUUAAUAUAUUAGAACUUAUAAUAUAUUAAUAAUCUCCAAGUGUUAUUUCUCUCAUUUAGUCUAUCCAAUUGCAUGGUGCCAUGCAACCCAAAUGGACCAUGCCGGGUCGGGUCAAGUACAAGCCCGAAAUAGUUAUGGACUUAGACACCUUAUCCAACAGUCUCCCACUUGGAUAAGUCUAAUAACUAUAACUUUAUUACUUCAGGAACCGAACGACAAUCGUAGCUCUUUCAAGGUCUCUAGGAACUGAGAAGAUGAUGAUACGCCAUUUAAGAUAAGUGAUCAUAUAAUCCUCUAUUCUAGAUAACAGCAAAACAAAUACAUGGAACAAUGUCUUACUUAUUGUCCAGCAGUUUAUUUCCCGAUUUCCGAUUUGUUUAACAAAGAACUUAAUUGAACACAUCAACUUAGUUCUGACCGGGCCCGGUACAUGGGUCAAAACAAAAUCAUCGAGGGGCCCAGAUAUCAGCUUCUAAUCCAAGAAGGAACAGAUAAACUUCGACUCAUAUGUUUGUUCUACCACUCAUUGAAUUACACACAAAAGUACGUUUUAUAACAUCGAGUUACCAAUGCGGUUUCGUACAGUCAAUGCAUAACCAACUUGUAAGUAACAAAUCAUAUCUCUAGGUUUGAAGACUUAUAUGAUAUUACCGUCUCACGAUCACUCGAGAUAGAAUUCCAUGAAGUGAUUCCAGUGAGCGUGGGUUGAGUCCAAUGCUCAGAACUUAUGAGCACUCAUGAUUNCCAACACCUUAGACCUCUACAACCAAUCAUGACAGUCUCGAUUCAUACCUACUUCCGACAUAUGACCGACAGUGGAGGUUUGAAUAAUAUAAUAUACCAAACAUAUUUAUUCUGGAAGUCAAAAAUGCAAAAGAAAUAUAGUAAACGAUCGACAAGAGAGAGCAACACUUUACUCAUAAAUAAAACACCAUUUAUUUAUCAUCUAAUGUCGAUUACACUUUACAAAUUUCGAGGUUAUCUAACUACUAAAUCUAAUAUUAUCCUUCAGGCCUAUGCUCCGAGCAUGCUAGAGAUGCUUUACCCAAGUCAGUCCCUUCGUGAGGGGAUCCGCUGGAUUCUCAUCCGAUGAUACCCUCUUUGCCACGAGGAGUCCUUCUUCUAUUCGAUGUCUGAUAAAUUGGUAUUUUCUGUCGAUGUGUCUUGAUUUCCCGUGAUCUCUUGGUUCCUUGGCUAAGGCAACAACGCUUUCACUAUCACAAAAAAUUUCCAUUGCCUCUUUAAUAGCUAGUAAUACUCCAAGGUCUCCAAUGAAGUUCUUCAGCCAUAUAGCCCCCUUUGUUGCCUCGCUAGCUGCAAUAUACUCUGAUUCACAAGUUGAAUCAACCACUGUCUCUUGUUUGGAACUCUUCCAAGAAAUUGCUCCUCCGUUUAGGGUAAAGACCCAGCCCGACUGAGAGCGGAAAUUAUCCCUAUCAGUCUGAAAGCUAGCAUCACUAUACCCUACAACUCUCAAGUCAUCACUCCCACCAAGGGUAAGGACCCAGUCCUUAGUCCUCCGUAGUACUUGAGGAUAUUCUUUACCGCAGUCCAGUGUGCCUUAUCAGGGUUCCCCUGAUACCUGUUAACCAUUCUCAGGGCAAAGGCUACAUCAGGUCGAGUACACGUCAUAACAUACAUGAUCGAUCCUACAGCCGAAGCAUAAGGUAUUCGACUCAUUUUUGCUAUCUUAGCCUCAGUGCUAGGGCUUUGUGUCUUACUCAAUCUGGCAUUACUCUAGAUGGGUAACUCUCUUUUCUUGGAGUUCUGCAUGCUGAAUCUCUUCAACACCUUAUCCAAGUAGCUACUCUGACUAAGACCAAUUAGUCUUUUACUUCGAUCUCUUAAGAUCCUUAUCCCUAGAAUAUAGGCGGCUUCUCCUAGGUCCUUCAUAGGGAAACACUUCCCAAGCCAGGACUUAACUUCCUGCAGAGUUGGGAUGUCAUUUCCUAUGAGUAGUAUGUCAUCCACAUACAAUACCAAAAAGCUAACUAUACUCCCACUAGCCUUGACAUAUACACAAGAUUCAUCUUCACUCCUAGAAAAGCCAAAUUCCUUGACUUUCUCAUCAAAGCAAAGAUUCCAUCUGCGAGGUGCUUGCUUUAACCCAUAAAUGGAUUUUUCAAGCUUACACACUCUAUUAGGGUACUCGUUGCUGACAAAACCUUCUGGCUGACUCAUGUAAACAUCUUCAGCCAACUUUCCAUUAAGGAAAGCAUUUUUGACAUCCAUUUGCCAUAUUUCAUAGUCAUGAAAUGCAGCUAUGGCUAACAGAACCCUAAUAGACUUAAUCUUGGCCACUGGAGAAAAGGUCUCAUCAUAAUCAACUCCCGGAGUUUGUGAGAAACCCUUUGCAACCAGUCGUGCCUUAUAAGUGUGUACUUUACCAUCCAUGUCGGUCUUCUUCUUGAAGAUCCAUUUGCACCCUACUGUCUUACGACCUGGUACAUUCUCAACCAAGUUCCAAACUUGAUUGUCAUACAUGGACUGUAUCUCGCUGUCCAUUGCCUCUUUCCACUUGGCUGACUCAGGGCCUGCCAUGGCUUCCGCGUAACUGUUAGGUUCAUCCAGACCUAUCAGUGUCUCAUCACUGAUAAGUGUAUCUCCUUCUGCAGUAAUAUGGAAUCCAUAGUAAUGCUCAGGAGCAUUCCUAACCCUUGUGGAACGCCUCAGAGGUACAGACUUGUCAAUUGGCUCAACAGGAGUUUCCUCCUCAAGUUGAGUGCUAGGGUUUGAAGUUCCUUCACCGCUUGACUCUUGAAUUUCUUCAAGAUCAACUUGCCUCCCACUGUUUCCUUGGCUUAUGAACUCUCUCUCUCUCUCUAUAUAAAGCCCUCCUAGCUACAAAGACCACAUUUUCACUAGGUCUGUAGAAGAGGUAACCAAAGGAUUGCUGUGGGUAGUCGAUGAAAAUACACCUCUCGCUUCGAGGUUUGAGCUUAUCAUGAGUCUCGCGUCUCACGAAAUCCUCGCAACCCCAAAUCUUGAUGUGGUGUAGUUUGGGUACUUUACCAGUCCAGAUCUCAUGAGGAGUUUUGGCAAUUUUCUUUGUAGGGACUAGAUUAAGGAUAUGGGCGGCAGUCUCUAAGGCAUACCCCCAGAAUGAGAUUGGUAGUGAAGCUCAAAUCAUCAUGGAACGAACCAUAUCCAACAAGGUUCGAUUACGCCUCUCAGCCACACCAUUCAACUGCGGUGUCCUGGGAGGUGUCAAUUUUGAGACAAUCCCACAUUCCCUAAGAUAGUUGAGGAACUCUGAACUAAGAUACUCACCACCUCGAUUGGAUCGAAGCAUCUUAAAGUUCCUGCCCAAUUGAUUCUCGACUUCCUGUUUAAAUUCCUUAAACUUUUCGAAAGUCUUUGACUUAUGCUUGAUUAAGUAGACAUGUCCAUAUCUACUAUAAUCAUCAGUAAAAGUCAAAUAAUAACGAUUAGCAUCCCUUGUGGCAUGUUUGAAUGGUCCACACACAUCCGUGUGCACAAGAUCCAACAACCCUUCACCCCUCACAUAAGAACCUGUGAAGGCUGACUUUGUCAUUUUUCCAAGUAAGCAUGAUUCACAACUAUCAUCUGACUUUAGAUCAAAUAACUCCAAGACUCCAUCUUUUUGGAGUUGGCCUAUGAGUUUCUUGCUUAUAUGUCCAAAACAACAAUGCCAUAAUGAUGCUUUGUCCAAGUUAUUAUUAACAGAAUCAAUACACAAAACAUUAUUUCCUAGGUUAUCAACCACAGAUACUGUUUCAUACAUGCCAUCACUAGGUAAUGCUUUAAAAUAAAGAGCAUUAUUAAAGAAAGCAUUAAUCGAACCAACUUCAUUAUCAAAUGAAAAGGUGAAACCUUGUUUAUACAAUGCAUGAAAGGAAAUAAUAUUUCUUGCCAUUUCUGGCGAAUAACAACACUUAUUCAAAUCUAAACUAAACCCACUACUUAGCGAUAAAGUAUAAACUCCAAUCUUGGUGACAGGUAAAGCUUUCCUAUUCCCCAUGAUUAAGUUUAUUCUUCCUUGCUCCACAUUCUCACUUCUUCUUAGUCCCUGCAAAUCAGAACAGAUAUGAAUACCACAACCGGUAUCAAGGACCCAAGAGUUAGAAUGGGGUGAGUUAUUAGAUAAGAUAGUGUAAAUACCUGCAUGGUUGGGUUUAACUUUCCCAUCCUUCACAUCUUGCUGGUAUUUUGGGCAGUUUCGCUUCCAAUGUGAUUUUUCAUGGCAAUAGAAGCAUUCCGCCUCUUUUGGGUCAGAAGAAGGAGUGACGAAACCUUUCUUGGUUCCACUUGAAGAAGAGCCAUCAAGGGUCCGAGCCUUGGUACCCUUAGAAGAGCUCUUUCUCUUCUUCCCUCGACUUUUCCCGAUUGCCAAACCCGGAGCGGAGUUUGGAGUAGGAGUGUUAGCAAUCGACUUCCCCUUAAGACCUGUUUCUGUGGUCUUGAGAAGACCCUGAAGUUUGCUGAGUGUGACCUCUUCCUUAUUCAUGUGAUAUGUCAUGAGAAAUUGAUCAUAGCAUGAUGGUAAGGAGUGAAAAAUAAUAUCUAUUGCAAGCUCCUCAGGGAAGUUCACAUUAAGCUUCAGCAACCGAUCCACAUACCUUUGCAUUUUCUACAUGUGGCUCGUGACGGAUUCCCCGUCCUUCAUCAUGGUUGUUAUCAUGGAGCAGAUGAUUUCAUACCUCUCUUGUCGUGCACUUUGAUGGUAUCUUUCCAUCAGAUCUUGGUGCAUUUCAUAAGGGUAGAAAUCCUCAUAAGACUUUUGGAGUUCCGCUGUCAUCGUGGCCAUCAUGAUGCAUGCCACUUUCGUAGCAUCCCUUUCAUGUGCCUGAAAGUCAGCGAUCUCCUGGGGAGUUGCAGUGGUCUCAUCAAUCUCCUUAAGCUCCUUGUCAAGGACAUAUUCUUUGUCCUCGUAGCGGGUAAUCAUCCUGAUGUUUCUGAUCCACUCAUUGAAGUUGGAUCCAUCAAAAGUGACUUUCCCACACAAGUUCAUAAGGGUAAAGGAGCCAUUAGGAUUAGAGCCAGAAGCAGCAUUGUUUGAAGACAUCUGAAGGAAGAGGACAAGAUUAGUUUAGAUAUUAAGAGAGUCCUUAAUAAAACACCCAAAUGUAAUAUUAAGGCUAGGAUCCAAUCACAAUAUAUUAUAACUUAGAAGAGGUAUGCCGUAAUCCAAGCUAUAACAUAUUUGAAAGGUAGGUGAAUGACGAUUCACCAAUUUCCACCAUGAAAACCAAAAUAUUAAAUAUUAGGUUUUUGAUUGGUUCGUAGAAAUUCCUAGAUUCUUUUGAGAUUCAGUGAACUUUUCAAAGGCAUGUUUCAAUCUCGAGUGUGCCCUCCAAGUUUUGUGACUGGGAUACCGAGGAUCACAAAACGAGGUGUGAAGUAACCAUGCAAAUCACUUGGUACCCUUAAAUUUUAUCACUCAAUCGAUGUGCCGGUAAACCACACACGCUCCACCGAUACUAUGAUAAACCUUAAGUCACCCUUUACCUACCUUGUUAAGUCCAUGUUAGUGUUUUGGUUAAACACACACGCUCCACCAACUACUUAAACAAAGUGUAAAGUGUAAUUUCAUGGAUUAGCACCUUAUUCACAUUUUUCCUAAAGUAACUAAGAUUGGGAAUUUAAUAAAAGCAUUUAGUUACUUUAUAAUAUUCAUCAUACUUUUAAUGAGAAUUUAUAAGUCCUUGUCCUACCCGUUCGGCUAACGACCCUCCACCAGUCAAGCAAGCGGUGGGUGAGAGUGGACACCCAUUAAGUUGCCAUUUUAUAGGCAAGAACCUUAUACUCACCUUAUAGACCGACUUCGUGAACGAGGCAUACUAGCGGUAAGACGACUUUGAUCUUAUACAUAUAUAUUAUUAUUAACUUAAAAUAUUAUAAGUAUAAGGGUUGAAUUUUAACUUUUAAAAUUCUAAGGGUUGGAACUAAAGUUUUGUAAACUUUCAAAACAUUUCAUUUCUUGUAACUUAUGAGUUUAUUAAGGUAUUAAAAAUGAAGACUCUUGAUUUUUAUAACCCAUGUGCUAUUUUAAUGGUUUUAAAACAAAGUGACUUUUGGUUUUCCAUAACUUGAGGACAAGUUAUGGACUCUAUUAAAACACCUAAUGAUCAAGAAUUAAUCUACCACAUAGGUUACAAACAAUUCCUAUGAUCAUCUAAACAUCAUAAGAUCAAGAACAUGAACAUGAACACUUUCAUGAAUCAAAAAUUACACUUAAAACUUUGUAAUUUUGAUAACUAUCAUUGUAAAUGGAUUAGCAAGAACAUUACACCAUCUAAAACAAGUUUUCAAGUACCAAAACAGUUUAGGGUAAUGUUUCUAGUCCAUUUCUAGCAACAAAAGUCGGAAAUCUGCAUUUUGAGGCUCCUACUCGCCGAGUGCACGAACCUACUCGGUGAGUAGGUUGAAGAUACACAUGAACUCGGCGAGUCCCCCCAUGGACUCGGCGAGUUCAUCAGGCAGAUUGCACAAAAUCGACUUUUUUCAACCAUUUAGCACAAAUAACAAACAUACAAGCCUAAGCUCUGAUACCACUGAUGGGUUUUGAGCAUUCUAACACUUCCUAAGUGUACAUGCAACCCUAAUAACCUUGGAUCUAUGUUUGUCUAAUUAUCAUGCAAAGUUGAAUUCCAAGGUUAUAUUCCUAUCUAGCAUACAUGGGGAGCAAUUUUUAACUUGAAUGGAAGAUAGAAAAAUUUACCAUGUUGUUGCUUACGUUCCUUGAAACCUUGUGAGCCUAGCACCCCAAGUGUGAUGCCUCAAAUGCUUCACACAACAACAAAUGCUCUUGGAUAGACUUUUGAGAGAACACACACUUCUUAAAAUAGGUCUAGCCCUCUUGUUUCAUAUGUGUAGCUAAUUUUGGUGGAGAAUGGGACUCUUAUAUAGUGUUGACACAUCUAGGGUUACACCAUGUAAACCCGAAUGUGUCAUGACUCUUCAUUUCCACGACCCAUGGGUUUGAAACUCUCAUGGAGCAUCCAUGGAGCAUCCUAUGGGUGGAACCCAACUUGAUAAUCCAUGGAGCCUCUUAGUCCACUAUACUAGAUAUGAAUGAUUUACAUAAUCAACCCAUAUAUUUAAUUAGUUAUCUUUUGAUCACUUAAUUAAUUCUAAAUUAAUUCUUGAUCAAACUAAUCAAAUAAUAUUAUUAAUAUAUUAGAACUUAUAAUAUAUUAAUAAUCUCCAAGUGUUAUUUCUCUCAUUUAGUCUAUUCAAUUGCAUGGUGCCAUGCAACCCAAAUGGACCAUGCCGGGUUGGGUCAAGUACUUACCAGAAAUAGUUAUGGACUUAGACACCUUAUCCAACAGUUGUAACAUCAAAAGUCAGAAUCAAGAGUUCAGGGGGUAAAGUGUAAGUUUUUGAAAGAGGAACUCGGCGAGUAGGAGCUGCAACUCGUCGAUUCUAAGUGUGUGCCGGGCACAUGUUAAGUGACCGGACUCGCCGAGUCGGAGGCUGGACUCGACGAGUCCAUGCUGGAAUGAGAAAUCCUAAGUCCUAGGGUUUUGCACCCUAUUUAAGGAGCCUUAAGCAGCCAGAUUAGGGCUUAAGCAGCCAGAUUAGGGUUUCCUUGUUGAAAACCCUAAUAGUCUACAUGUAUAUAAAGGGCCCCUAUGCCCAAAAAACGUGGACAAGAGUUCCUUUAGGGUUUCUAGAUGUUUUGCGCAGCCUCUUCUUGUCUUCUCCUCUUCAUCCAAGUUGCUUAGUGGUGUUUGUGACUCCAUUAGAGGUGCAGCACUUGAGGCACUAAGCUUUCUGAAGCCAAUCAAAGCAAGGAAUUGAUUGUUAUUGCUAUAUAACAAUCAAAGAUCAUUCUCUAAACCCUAAUUCAGUUUAUUAUAUGAUAGAUCUAGGGUUUAUAGCUUUGGAUAUUCAAUUGCAUGUUCAUUAGACAAACUAGAUCCAAAAGCUAUUAGGGUUUGCAUGUACACCAUAGGAAUGAUGUUUUGCUUAAAACCACUCAUCGAGGUCAUUGUUCAGAUUAGUACGGAUGAGUUGGAUGCCAGGAUUCGUGAGAUCCUGCAUGAUGAGGUUGUUGCUAUGUUCCGGGCUGAGUUGCUGGAGAUGUUUUGGUCGAUCAAGACCGCCAUGGUUGAGUAUUUUGAUGAGCGCUAUGCAGCUCUUGCAGAGACGGCUGCCGCGGCAGGGGCAGUGGCUGUAGCAGCGGCANNNNNNNNNNNAGAAGCGGCAAGUGGAGGAGCCGGUCGAGGUUUUUAGUAUCGAGACUUCGAUAAUACAAAGCCCCCUACUUUUGAUGGAGUUUAGGACUGGAUCAUUGCUAUGAGGUGGUUGUCGGACAUAGAGGGCUGUUUCUUCACGUGUUCACGCCCUACGGAUCAGAGGGUGAGGUGUGCUCUGAACCUUUUAAGGUUCGGCGCAAAGGAUUGGUGGAGGUUGACUAUGGGAUCGUAUUAUAAUGCGCAACAGGCUGCGGUUACAUGGGAUCAGUUCCGGAAGCUGUUCAGUACUCGUUAUGUUCCACAGGUUGAGAGGGAGAGGUUGGCUCAGGAGUUCAUGGAAGUGGAGCAGGAUUCAGAGUCGGUGAUGGAGAUCACCAGGAUGUUCACUGAUACGGCGAUGUUUUGCCCUGUGUUUGUUUCGGAGCAGAGUCAUAUGCUUCGAUAUCUGAGUAUGCUUGAAAGGGAUAUCAGGCAGUUUGUGUCUACACAGAGGUGCGAGACCUUAUUGGAGUUGCAGGAGGCCGCUCGGCGACGUGAGUUGGAGAUUGAGUUACAGCUGAGAGAGCAGAGGUAGGCCCCAGUGUAGUUGUAGCUGGCGCCGAAAUGGUCCAAGACCGUUGAUUCCAGGUUGGACAGUCAGAGCGGCCAUACUUGUGAGAAGUGCGGGAAGGGUCAUACCGGAGUUUGUAGGUCCGGUGGUGCAUGCCGCGAGUGCGGGAGAGUGGGGCAUUAUGCGAGGGAUUGCCGUCAGUCAGCCCCGGUUCAGGAUAUGAGGAUUUGUUACCAGUACCAUCACGUUGGCCAUAUGAGGGCCAACUGUCCAAAACUAGUUUUCAGGCUAGUGCAGGUUCCAGCACUAGCCACUUUGAGGACUACUGGCGGGGGCCAGGGUGGAGCGGAGCCUCCGAGGGCUCACGGGCAUGCUUUUCAGCCCACAGUAGAGGAGGUCAAGGCAGAGCCAGAUGCGGUUGCGGGUAUGUUUUCAUUUCGUUGCUGUCUGGUUAUCUGGUUAUUUUGUGGUGUUGCAUUUUAUUCGCCGUUCUGCUUGUUUCAUGGGUUCGCUGAAAGUGAUAGUAGUCAAGAGUUGUAAGUGGUUAGCAUCCAAGGGAUUGAUGGUCAGAAACUAGUUGUAUGCUCUUGUUUCCAGAUAUAGCAAUUGGGAUUUGAGAAGUGUUCACCGGGGAGUCGAACUCCUUUAGAGUUCGAGAUGUACGAUUUCGGAGGAGUGAUUUUGUAGAGGUGCUCGUCUUAGGGGGGAUCAGUUCAUGGAUAAGGGGAAUAUGUUGAGUAGGGAUGUUUAAGUGAUGUCGUUUGGGUCACUGGUGGUUGGAAGUCAGUGCUCUAAGUGGGGAGAAUUGGAGAAUUCUCAAGAGGAUCGAUAAGCGUUAGAGUUUGAUUAGCUGUUUGGGAUCCAACGGUGUUUUAGUCAGCCAAGAGUUUGGGGUGGUAUGAGUGAGUGACAAAUCGAUGGGGCGGAGUACAGACCAAGGAUUCAGGAUAAGGUGAUUGGUUGUUGUGAGGCCUAGGAUUAGGCCAGGAUCUUGGUAUAUGGAAUGGAGUUGGAGUUCGAAACCCGUAGAGGGAUAGAACAGUAUGUAUGGGAGAGAUUCCCAGGAGAAAUAGCUCAGGAUGAUGUAUGGAUAGUUUGAGCGGGGGAGACUGAAGGUCGGAAGGUGUAUCAGUAAGGCCGGAAGGCGUACCAGUUAGGCCGAAGGCCUGAUAAGGCGGUCUAGUCAUGUUGAAGACUCUGUAUGCGUUAGUGGAUCUGUAUGCGGAGAAUGGGUGAUUAUGUCGCCAUGCAAUAGCAAACAGAAGGCUUGGCCCCGGGUAUUGAUCAUGUUAGUGAAAGGUGGGGUAUGGACUUCGAUAGUCCUUAUGAUAAGAUUCAGAGUAUAUGUGAUGCUUAAAAUAGCGAUUACUGUACAUGACAUAGUGUAGAGUGGAGUGUGAGUACCGUGGCACUUGUCUGAAGUGGCAAGGUUGGCAAGUAGAUUUCCUUGGAUAAGGAAGAAGGAAAGGUAUGUAACUCCAGGAGGGAGUAUUGGAUGACGGAAAUGAAAGCAGUAGUGAGAAUGGAUGACGGAGAGUAUUUCAAUUAUGGUUGUUGAGCACCGUGAUUGUGCCAGUGGUUUGGAAGCACAUCCGGAUUGGGUGUCUGUUGAGGUCGCGGAUGGAAUUCCGAUGGUAUCGGACCUGAGGAGUCUGGAAGGGAUGCAAGGGUUGGUCCAUGGAAUCUAGGUAGGGGAGUGAUCAUGGGUUAUGUACAUAGUGGUAAUUCAUUCUGGGGAUGUCUGAUAGUAUCGUUAGUGUGUCGGGUUUUUCCAACUCGAGGAUGUAGAGCAGGCUCAGCAUGUGUAUGUGAUGGCAGAGGUGAGCUCAAGGGAGUUACUCAGGAACUGAAGGAUGUGUGAUCCUGUCAGCGGAAAGAAAAGAGUUGGAUUUGGAAAGGAAUUGGGAUAAGUCCCAGAAGUGAAUUCAAUAAAGGAAAUGUCAGUCGAGGAAAGGGAUAGCAGUUGGUACCGGGCUAGGACCUGGUGGUUCAGGAUGAUAUCUAGUUUGUAAGAGACAAGUGGUUAUGUGAUUUAGAACGAUGGAAGUAUCAUCGGGUGAUCAAUGGUGAAUAAGUGUUUUUAUCAGAGAAGGAAGUCGGUGGCCAGCUUGAAGCAGUUUUCGUGACUGUAUGAGAAAGAGUUGGACUUUAUAAGGGUUUGAUGGCAGUGUUUGGAGGAACCUGGGUCGAUUGAUAAAAGGAGGUGCAUUGUGGGAGUAUUAUCUGGAGUUGUGUGUUGCAACAGGCUUUGAGGGCGAAGCCUAAUUUCAGUGGGGGAGAAUUGUAACAUCCCAAAUCAGAAUCAAGAGUUCAGGGGGUAAAGUGUAUGUUUGGAAAAGAGGAACUCAGCGAGUAGGAGCUGCAACUCGUCGAGUCUAAGCGUGUGUCGGGCACAUGUUAAGUGACCGGACUCACCAAGUUGGAGGCUGGACUCGACGAGUCCGUGCUGGAAUGAGAAAACCUAAUUCAUAGGGUUUUGCACCCUAUUUAAGGAGCCUUAUGCCCCCAUUUCGGCCCCUUAUUACUCCCCUGAAAAUCAGCAGCCCUAAAUCAUAAGUGAUAGCCUUGGGAGCAUUUUGGAGUUUAGUAAGUGGAGUUGGGAAGGAAGUCUUAAAGAUUAAGAAGCUUGGAUCAAGGAGGCUGGAGGAUAUUUGGUUUACUCUUCAGUUGGAGGUUGCUUUGAGGUAAGGAUUCGUAAUCUUGGCAUUAUUUCUUCUAGAUCCACCUUUCAUGGAGCUUUAGGGUUUGUUUGGAGGAAUUUAUGAUGAGAUCUUGAUGCAUGAGCUAGAUCUGGAUUUGAAACUCCAUAUUUGAGUUCUAUAUGGAUUCUAUGUGAAGAUAGCCCUUUGUUUAGAUAUGAAAAAGCCAACCCUAAUGAGUUAAGUUAAAUUAUAGCUUGGUUUUUGGUGAAUGGGUGAUGGAAGCACGUAAAGGUAGCAACUUUAUGUUACUAAUGAACCAUAGGGACCCUAAUCUAUUGUUUGGAGCAAAGAAGAAGCUCUGUAAUUUCAGAUUAUGGAAUAACCCGUAUGGGCUCGACGAGUCUAGGGCAGGACUCAGCGAGUCAGGUAGGGUUUGGUCUGAUUAGUCCCGUGUGGACUCAGCGAGUUGGAAGAACAAAUCGGCGAGUCUGUUGAAGAUUGCCUUGGACUCGGUGAGUCUGGUCAUGGAACCAUAACCUUUUUAGUUAAACCGCGAAUCGGUGAGUCGAGGGACGACUCGGUGAGUUGAGCAGGAUGGGACUCAGGAUUGUUGAACUCGACGAGUCUUGUGGCGACUCGGCGAGUUGAGUUGUGAUAUGGGGUUUCGAGUAUGGGAACUCGACCAGUCAACGGUUGGACUCGGCGAGUAGGGUCAACCAGGAAGGUUGACUUUGACUGAGGACUUGUACUUUGACCAAGGGUUGACCAGUUUGACUUCCAAGGGUAUUUUGGUAAUUUAAUGUUUAUUAGUUUGGUUAUUUGGUAAUGAUCAGUGGUGGAGUUCGUGCUGGUGGUCGGAGCAGCGUGGUCUUAAUCCUUCCAGUCGGCAGUUGCAGGUGAGUUAUCAUCACUAUACUAAUAGGGUCUACGGCACCGAGGCCGACCCUCUAUCGGAUGGAAAUCCGGGUAAUUUUGUUAUGUUAUUUCUUUUCUUUGUUUGCAUCCUUGUAGUUAGGAUGUGUACGUUAGGGACCUGGAUAUGGUCGGUAUCCUAAUAGUUAGGAUGGUAAAUGUGUGACCGGAAGGCCUUAUGUGCUAUGAAGAGUAUGAGAUAUAUGAUGUUAGAUGUUAUGAGAACUGUAUGCAUUAUGUUACGAUAUGAGCAAUACGUUAUGGACCUGAGGGUCAUCAUGUUAUAUGUGGUUAUAUGAUAUGUAUGUGCCAUGUAUGGUAUGUAUGAUAAGGACCGGAAGGUUAAAAAGAUAUUUAUGUAUGUGUUAUGUAUGCUAUGUAUGGUAAGGACCGGAAGGUCAAGAUGAUAUGGACCAGAAGGUCAACAAAGUAUGGACUGGAAGGUCAACAGAGUUAUGGGAUGGAAAUCCCCUGAGACAUAUGGAUCGGAAGAUCCUAUGGAGUUAUGGCCUAGAAGGUUAUAUGUGCUGUUACGGCCUGGACGGGCGUAUGUGCUGUUUGUAGUAUUUUGGGGGUAACUCACUAAGCUUUCGGGCUUACAGUUUCAGUGUAUUGUUUCAGGUAUUUCAGGAGAUCAUGGCAAGCCGAAGGCAUGAUCGUACCGCUCCUCAGUUUUAUGUUGAUGUUUCUGGGAUACUCUGAUAAUAAAAGAAUUGAAAACCCUUUUCUAAUAACUUAAUGAACAUAGUUGUUUUUGAAAAGUUUAAAUUGGUUGUAAAUUUUAUGGCCAUUACACUUGGAUAGGGAAGGGAUAGCAUAGAAGAUACAAUUUCAUCGCUUGCAUAGAAAUUAUGGAAUGCAUCAUUUUGUGCAAAUAUAUGGAGAUGCUUUUAUGUCUUAAUUCAUAUGGUUUGGUGAAAUGUGACAUUUGUUUGUGGGAUGCCUGUUUGGUUGAGUUUGUUAAGAUGUUUCACAUUAGAUUAUAGUAGUUAGUUGAUGGUUGUUUGAUUAAUACAAUUAGUGAUGCAUAUAUAUANUGGAUUUGGGAAUCAGGCUGUGCACUUUGGUAUACAAUUAAGUAGUCAUUUGAUGUUGUUAAUUUGUUUAAGUUUGAUAAUUAAUUAACUUUGAUCAUUAGAUUUGAUCAUUUACACCAAUAUGUAAAACCUUUUAUGUAUGUUGUGUAAAUUUGUACAUAAUUAAAGUUUUGAAAUGUCUAAGGUUUGAAAUACAUAUGUGUUGAUUAAUGGUUAAAUAUAGUCAAUGUAGGAGUAAUUAAGUGAAAAAGUUAUUUUGUUUAUAUUUGUUUUGAUGAUGGUAAGGGUAUUUUAGUACUUUUGUUUAUAAACAAAUUCAUAUAUAUGUUUUUUUUAUAAUAUUUAAAUAGUUUAGUUAUUACUAAACUAAUUAUCUGUACAAACAUAAGCAAAGAUAGAAAUGCAAUUUAUAGAGUUACAAUUUAGACAAUAUAUACAUAUGUUUUAUUAAUGUUUCAAAUUUUUUGAAAACAUAAUAAAUAUACAUAGUCAAUAAUAAUAACCUACUUAUCGUUCUGACAGUCUCAAAAUGUAUAUUUUUUCUUGCUUGUAAACCCACCUAGAAAUAAAGCAUGUAUUAUGUCUUGUCACGUGCUCUUCUCUUCAUGACAACAUUUUCAUUUUCCUCACACAAGUAAAUCUAAAUAGUUGCGUAAAUUCAAUGAACCGUAAUAUUAUGUAAAUGUAACCAUAUAAAACAAGUCUAAGAUCUUUAGUAUGAAUAAGGAAGGCAUUUCUUAUGUAGUACAAUACCCCGAUAGUCGGGAUGAAAAUAACCAUUUUAGGACUCCUUAAGAAAAUCUUAGGGGCCUACACGUCGCAAUAUAUAAUCAGUUUAAGGAAAAUCAUCAGUACUAAAUUCCUCAUCCGCAUCCUCAUAUGAAUCUCAAUAAUUUUUUUGAGGUGUCUUGAACACACUAGAUAUUUUUUUGUCAAAUAUGAAGGGAUCUAUCACAACCGUCAAAACUCAGGUUAGGACUCAUCUAGAACCUUAUCAUUUCAAUGUGUGCACAUAACUUGCCUUUAGAUGCAACAAGUUGAGCUAUAUCGCGACUUAAUAGAUCCCUCCGAACAAAUAGUGUAUCUUCGCUUGUACUAAGCAGUCACAUUGAUAUUUGAAUACUCUAACUAGGUUGUAAAGCGCCAAAGUACAAUAUAAAAACUAACACAAAAACCAUGUUCAGAAAAUCAAGGCUCAUGGGUAUGAAGAAUACCCUAAUUUUUUAAUCGGAACAUACGACGUGCUUAACUAGUUUGAUAACUUAUCAAACUCAAUUUAAUUAUAUCAUAAAUUCAUUUAAUUACAAGUUGGAAAUAAUAUCUACAUAUCAUAAUUUUAAUUAUGAGCAAAAAAUUUAAUCCAAUGAUUGUCUAAUCCUACAUUCAUAUGUGAACCUUUGUGUCGUUUAUAUGAAAUAUAAAAUUUGAUUUUAUAAAAAUCUAACUAUAUGCUAUCAUUUCUAUAAAUUAAUUUAAGAGAAUACAUGUUUAUGAACUUAUUUUUAAAAACAAAAUAAUUGAAUAAAAACAAGAAAUAAACUCUUCAAGUUUAUAAAAAUAUAUAGAAUAUUUUUAAAAACUACAGAUGAUUUUUAUAAAAAUCGUUAAGGGGAAAUGUUGAGAGAAAGACUUUGAGACACACUUAAAUAAACGUUAGAACAAGUAUAUAGCGGAAUAGUUAAUCUCGAAGGAUCAAAAGCUCAACAAUAAUAUUAAGAGUUAGAAGUUAGAGAGUUAGUUGUGGAAAAGUAAAGAAAUGUAAAUGACGACAAUUGUUAUAUCAAGUAUACACAUAAGCAGAUUCAUAACGAGGAAUGCAUUCAUACCAACUUAAUAAGUGAGAUCAAACAUAGUGAUUAAGUCACAAGAGACUUGCUCCGAAGAUAUAUGAUGAUUGAUUAUGUGAGUAAGAAGAUUGGAUAAUUAAGAUAGAAAGAGAACUUUGAGAUGUGUAUUAGAAAGAGAUGAGAUGUUCACUGUAUUUCACUGUGUUCUUAAUACAUGAGAAUGAGCUCUAUCUAUAGAGACUCAAAAGAUAAAAGAUUUAAAACUCUAAGAGUAGCCAUGCAAGGCAUACUGGACAAUAGAGUGUUUUACAAUAAAGAGAAAAUAAUCUAAGUAUAGAUAGAGACUGCGGUGCUUGAAGACUUCGGAUGAUGACUGACGAAGAGACUGCUUGACUGCAGUGGCUUGGAGGCUGCGGUAGCUGAAGUUCAAGAGGGUCACUUACUUUUGCUUCAACAAUUUCCCCUAAGUGACCUCUUUAACUUUGAUCAGCUAUCAAGUUUAAGGGACUUGAUCAAGAUCCAGCAAAAUUUCCUGAUGUUCUCCAACCAGUUAAUUCUUCUAAGUAUUUCAAACUUGACCUCUGCGGUGGCACGCUUGGAUUUUUCAACUGCAUUUCAACAGAUGUCAAGUUGUUUUCUGGUGAGACAAUGCAUGGCAUUCAUUGAGAUGAAAUAUUUGACAUUGUCUAUAUUUCUCUUGAAAAUGACUCCUAGUUCAGGAUAGUUGGUUGUAGCCAAAGAUCUUUCUUUAAAGCCUUCGGUAGGCAUCGAUGCAUGGUCAAGCGAUGGCAGAUCGACAAUCUUGGAGAUGGUGGGGUGAAUGUCUGCAUCGAUCUUGGCGAAGUCACAGACUGUUUCCUUAAGAAAGGUACUGGCCCUUUCAAGUGCAAACUUCAUCUUUGGAUGCUUCUCAGACUUUUGCUGAAACACCUUGGCGAUGAGAAAAACUUCAUUAGGGUUCAUGCAUGGAAAAUUAGCCUGGGUGUGGAUGUAGUCGUGUUCCCUCCUAGUUAAGGUGUAUUGGAUGAACUCAGCCUUCAUGAACUUCCGGAUCUUGUAAUUCUUGACUGCGGAUGGUCUAUCGUUAGACCAUAUACGUUCGACGGGAGAGGCAUCCUUAGCAUAGAAUUUGCUAAGUCUCUCAAAUUCCAUCAGAAGUCUUUUCUCAUCAGGAAGGCAGUGGUCGAACUGCUCAAAUACAGUGAAGUAUCUGGCAUUUGGUGACGUAGUCAUCAUCAAGUAGUCUUCUAUGGGGAUUGACCCAAGAGUUUAUUAGGGACUCAUCCAUGACCGUGUCGAAUCCGCCAAGUCUCCAUACUUCUUCAUCAACCUUGGCUUCUCUCCAAUUACUUUUUCUUUGAGCAGUGGCCGGAGAGUCGUUUGAGCUUGGAGAAGACAUAUACUCUUCCAGAUUCUUGAAGUGCGGGGGAGUCUCUGGUUUUUUAGGGGUAUUUUCAACAUGAAGAGGGGAGUUGUGAGGUGGAGUGUGAUGAGAUGGUUGCGGUGAGGGUUGUUUUUUAGGUUGCGGUGAGGGUUGUGGUGUGAGAAUUUUUUCAGUAGAGACUGGUGUAGUUUGAUGGUGUGAGAGGGAUUGGUUGGAAUGAUGGACUUCUUCACUUCCCCCUCUUGAGGAGUUCAGACCCGAAGCCUCCUCGAGCCAUUGGCGAAGGCCAUCUACCUUGUCAAACACCAUUUGAAAUUGUGCUUUGAGGGCUUCUGCUAAAUGUUGAUUAUUGGGAAUGGAGGGAUUGAAGAGUAGUUUAUGGAUCUCCUUGGUGUGUUGAAGAAUUUUCGGACCAUGGAAGUUGGCAGAUAGUGAUCGUUGCAUUCUGCUGAUCGUUCUUUGGAGAACGGAGAUUGCAGACUCAUAAGAAGUAUGAGUUUCAACAAUCAACUUCUCUGAGUGUGAAGCUUGAUCUGCAAUGGCUGCUUGAAGAUCGGUUUUGAUUGUGGUAACCUCAGAGAUGAGGCGUUCUGCAGCAAUCAUAAAUUCCUUAUUAUCAGCUUGACGAUUAUUUUCAAGUGAUCUGAUCCCCAUUUCAACUUUCAGAGAGAUACGCUCAGCAGCCAUUCUCUCUCUGGUUUCCAUUCUUUCUAUUCUUUCCAUCAAGGACUGCGGUCCAGGAAGGUCUUAUGGUUGCGGUUGAUUUGGCUUGACUGCAGCUAAGAUUUGAUUAACCUUAGCCUGAAGACUGAGAAAUUCCUUCCUUGUCACUGCUUGCUUCUUCUUCUUCUUCUUUGGCUUAGUAGUGGAGUGAUGAGAACCACUGGAUUCUUCAUCUUCAUCAAACAUCAUCAGAUCAUCAUCAUUAGGAUAGGGCUUGUUUACCUCUUGUGGUUCAUCAUCAUCGAAGCCAAAAAUGGGAGCAGAGCUCACUUCGAUUUCAGGUUCGUCAUCUUGUGAACCUGCAGAAGUGGGAGAGGGGGGAGGUGGAGCUUGAGAAACAAGUUAAGCAGCAACAGCUUCCUUGGCUUUCUGAACUAUUUCGGCCAUUGUGGUCAUCCAGUCUUGAACCUUGAGGAUGGUGGCUACGGUAUUGGCAUUGUUGAUGGAAUCUUCCCAAUACUUGGCCACAACUUGAAUCUCUUAUUCCUUGAGCUGUUUUUGCUUGACUUGCUGAUCCUUGCGAGCUUGAAAUGCCCUACGAAAAGCGGCAUAUUUCUUGGCUUCAGCCUUGUUGGAGGGUUGAUAACUGCUCCAAGAAUCAUUUAAAUCUUCACCGUCAAUUCCUGUAAAUCACACCAAGGUGUCCCUUGGGUUCGCAGAUCCUUGCACAUUUGUGCUUAUCGUGCCUAAACCACCUGUUUGUAAUGAAAGAAAAGUAGGAUUUCCUAAGCUUCCCUGAUAUCCUUCACCCGUAGUCAAGUUUGGCCUAGGCUCAGCUCCGGCAUGGGUGGAAGAAGUGCCAUGCGGAUGGGAAUAUGUUUGUAGUGUCUGGCUAACUUUCAACAGGAUGGAGUUCAACUCCUCAGGUGAAAAAAUAUGCAGUUGGGAAGCCCUGGAGACUUUAGGGCGAGUACUAGUAUCAUCCCUUUAGGAAUCUACNNNNNNNNNNNNNNNNNNNNNNNNNNNNNNNNNNNNGACUCAUUUUCUGAGUCUGAAAUGAAAAAGAUAGUGGUGUUGAAUGGAUGUGCAGGCAUCCCAAGAACUACCAGAGCCUGUGGAGAGGUUGAGGUAUCAGUCCGAUCAUGCAUUUGGCUAGUGGGAUCAGGUUUUCAUUUCUUGAGGAUAGAGAUGGGUUGGUUAUCCUCUUCAGAGUCAUUGUUGGAGUCAUGAUGACUUGGUUCAACAGUUUUGACUACUGGUGGAGUUUUUCUUUUCUUUGAGGGUUUGGAGGCUUUCGGAGCAUCCUUUUUAGGAAUUCCAGAUUUCUUUGAAUGGCGGGGGCUAUGAAGGGUAGGAACCUUGGUUUUUCGUCUUUGAGAGUGAGAGAUGUUUGAGAGAGUUGUAGAAGAAGGGACUGCGGUACCUUUAGGGUUUAAGGCUGCGGAUGGAAGAGGCGGGGUAGGAAGGUAUCGGUCAACCCCUUCCGUAGCCUCUAUGUGAUCUGAGACAUCAGCAGUAUCGAGACCAAGGGUAGAAAGAAUGUGUGUAGGGAGUCUGCGGAUUGGACCAAAAAUAGUUUCAUCAGAGGAAGGGUUGUACCUUUUUAGAUCUUUGGUGACAAAGAAGUUAAUGUCAUCACCCAUGUCGAUAUCUGUAUCCGUAUGCAAAUAAGAUAUACAGAGAGACCAAAAUCUGGCAAAAGUAAGCUCGAAUGGAUUUUUCCUUGGGCUCCCUUUGGGAAUGUAUUUCAGAAAGUCAACCCAAAGAAUCUAACCGUAGUUCACAUCGUGGCUUGUGUAGAUACUCCAAACUAGUUCCAAAAGCUUUAGGCCCAUGUUAUCUGUGCCUCCGGUUCUGCCGGACAGACUACAGAUGAUAAAAUGACAGACAAACUGCUAGACCGGAGACAGUUGAUUCUUCUUGAACUCACUAAUUCCUUUGAUCGGCUUCUGAUAGCCCAUCUGAUACAGUGCAGAGGUGAUGUCCGCCAUUGAUGGUGUGAAAAACUUGAUCGAGGGAUGAAUCAGAAGGUUAAUGGCUGAAAGAAACUUUUCUUUGGAUAGAAUGACCAAAGAAUCAUUAAUGAGGUUUAGGUGAACUUCUUGAGGGUUAUCAAUUGGGCGGUAGGCAGAGAAAGCACAUUUGUAAAGAGAGGAGAGUGGAACAAUGUUUGUGAAUGCAUCGAAUGGUCCAAAUAAAGGACGAUUCUUCAAGAACUUGAUCAUCAAUUUUUUUGGAGCAUUGUAUGUGGGUUGAUCGUCGAAAACAGCUCUGAAAUUGCUCGAGGCAAUUGUGGGAGAAUCUGAACCAGUUGGGUUCACUGAUCUAGAGGCUUUUGUUUGUUUCUUGGUAGCGCCAAAUUUCACCAUUGUUGAGUUGGUAAGAGCUUAAAGAAUGCAAUGAAGGAUUAAGGGUUUUGAGAGCGUAAAAGUUUCUUUGUGGAGAAGAAAAGGGUUUUAUAGCGGUUUAUUGGAGCGGGAAACAUUUAUGUUUUUGACCUAAGUGAAAUUGGGUAAAAAAAACAUUUGGGUUUAACUUUGGGUGAGCAUCUUUAAUCUUAACCACAGAUUGACAAAAAAGGGAUAAAGUUUGCAAUUGGGAUUAACCAGAAAAGGACUUUACAUUUAAUGUAAUGUCAGAUGUUGAAUCACGUCUUGAGAACAUGUGGAGGGGGUGAGAAAAAUCCGUUGGAUAAAGUAGAAGUUGUAACGGAUGUGAUGGUUUGGGGUAAGAAGAAAAGACAUUUUAGAGGAUUUGAUUUGGAAAAUCUUUUAUUUUGUCAUCAUACCUAAAAUAGGUAUGACACAAGGUUUUUGGAAGAAAAGAAUGUGACAGUUUCUCAAAGGAAUGUUUUUAUUUAAUAUUUUAUUUAAUGAAGAAUCAUUAAAUAGCACACUAUUUUUCGUUUUUUUAAAUGAACCGUCUGUAAAACAAUUAAUGUGAGUGUGGAUGAACACAUCAUUGCGGAUGGCUUCUUUGUCAUUGCGGAUGACUGCAGUGGAAGAAACUGAGAAGAGCACUUGUACAAAAGUUAAUAACAAUAAGCAAUAAAGACCCAUGAAAGAUAGAUAUAACAAAUGGUUGCGGUACAUUGACCGCGGUACACAAGAUGUACCAAAACCAUCUGUUAUAAGUGUCUUUCAUCUAGAACCACAAUGGAACUAAGAGGGUCUGUGGUACCUAUCAAUUCAAGAAGAAUUGGGGGUCCGGCUUCAUCAUCCCUAACAUUUGUAAGAACACAUUGAGUUUAGUAGAGUCAAGUGCUUUAGUAAAAACAUCAACAAUCUCUUCAUGAGUAGGGACAAAGAUGAUACGUAAACCUGUAACAGUGCCAUGGGCUUCCCCACAUGGUCUUUACCUAGGACUGCCAUGGGGUCCCCCACAUGGUCUUACAUCCAAUGCCAUGGGCUACCCUACAUGGUCUUAACCUAGGACUGCCAUGGGCUACCCCACAUGGUCUUACAUCCAAUUCCACGGGCUCCCCCGGGUUCUUCAUACAACAUGCAAUCACAUACCAUAGCAAAACAUAGAACGUCUAACAAAUUUAUCAUAAUCACAUAAUGGGUUGGCCUUGGUGCCUUAGACCCAUAGGUAUUGUGAGGAGACUCACCUGACACAAAUGCUGAACUGACACUUUCCGACCAAAAUACCCCACGAGCUGCUCCAACUCAACUGCCUAUAAGCGACAUUCAAUAACCAGACAUUACCCCCAAGGUCCGCCCUAACUCGUCGAGUACAACUAGUGACUCAUCGAGUUUCCCGGUAUAUAGUCUACUCGUCGAGUUUACGAAAAACUUCAUCCGGCUCGCCGAGUUGUUCAUCCAACUCGUCGAGUCUAUGACGAAAUUCAUCGGACCCGCCGAGUUGUUCAUCUAACUUGUCAAGUUCAUGAUAAUCUUCAUAUGAAUCGCCGAGUCACCUCUUGCAACUCGCCGAGUCCUUACAGAUCUGAGGUCAUACAGACUCAUUUGAGCCAUGCAAAGCAUCCACAUUACAGAUCUAGGAUUUUAAGGCAUGGCUUUCACAAAAAGUUGCAAUCUUUACGUGCAUGCAAGGCUUUUAAGCUCGAAAAUAGCAAUUCUAAGCACGGAAUGGAGUCACACGCUUGAGGGGAGUCUCAUGCUAGGCACAACUGAUAACUUUAUGCAUCUAACAUCCGAAGGGAGUCCAGAUCUGAAGUUACAACUUUAGAUCUUGGCUUAAGCACAAAAGCCCUUUCUUAGAAUCCAUGCAGAAGGGGCUUUUAGGUGGAAAUGAGCCAAGGAAUAGCCUAAUACCUUCAGGGAGUGCUUCACAAGAGUGGAUCUUGAAUCCCCCACGAUUUCUUUGCUUCCUCUAGCUUGCUUUCUCAAGUGUUCCCUUCACCAAGUCCUUCCUUCAAGCUUAAACUCACCAAAGAUCACACACACACAUGAAUCAGAGUUUGGAAGAUGAGGAGCUAUAAAGGGAAAGCCGGGGGAGGCUAAUUACCGCUUUAAAUAGGGCACAUGGCCCUGUAUUUAGCGUUUAAUACGCCAGCAUCUACUCGUCGAGUUCCACCCUGGACUCAGCGAGUAGGUGAUUAAACUAAUCGCACUAACCCACUACUACUCGACGAGUAGGGAAGCCAACUCAUCGAGUAGGUACUUCAAAAUUCAAACAAAGGCAAUAUUAUUAUUAGCACCUGAGGAUCAGGGUGCUACAACCAAAGCUUGGAAUCAUGCAAGUUGUAUAGUAUGAUGCAUGAUAACUUUCAAGAAUUGGAAAAAUUAAUACUAACUACUUGUUCACAUGGAUGUGAAUAAGGGAUCGAGUACACAUUCUUGUGUACUGGAUGAAUCUGAUGGGUUUUGGAGAUAAGAACUUUACCUAUGUGCACAUACAACCCUAUAGCUUGGAUCUAGGUUUCACUAAUUGAACAUGCAAUAAUUCUAAGACUUUCAUGGCUAGAUGUAAGAACAAAACAUAUGAAAAAGGAUCUAGAAUAAUACCUUGAGUUACUUGCUUGAAACCUUCUUCUUCUUGGAGCUAAGAGUCACAAAUGUCACUCCUCUAAUGGCUUACAAACACCAACUAGCAAGAAGAUGAUUUAAGAGAGAUGAGGAAGAGGGAAAUCGGCUCAAGAGUUUCUCCAAUCACAAUGAUAGUCGAUUUCCUCAACCCUAUGGGUCUAUUUAUACUGUGAGCUCCUAGGGUUUCACCCUUAAACCCUAAUUGGAUAACUUAGCCUCAAAGAAUCCAAAUCCCUUCCUGAAUAAGGCCUUGGAUGAUUUCUAGGUGAUCCAUAUCCCUAAAAUCGUCCAACCCUAUAUCCAUAAGAAUUAUCAGCUAAAAAUACAACUUUCAUGCAUUUGACAGUUUAUACCCCUUUAUUCAAUUAAUCUCUUUAAGUCACCAAAUUAAUUCCUGAUUAAUUUAUGACUUAUAUUAAUAAAUUAAUAAUAUUAUUCUUUUAAUAUAUUAUUCUUAUAAUAUCUCUUCUCUCUAAAUCACCCUGUCAAGUUGCUAUGGUGAAGGCAACCCAAAAGGACUAUGCACAAUCGAGUCAAGUACUUACCAAAUAUAGUUACAGCCUUAGACACUAAUCCAACAGUCUCCCAGUUGGAUAAGUCUAGUAACUAUAAACGCAAACACAAUCCGAUUAGCAAUCGUAGCUCUCGAAGAUGUUGUCAGCUCUAAUAUUAUCAGUAACCUGUCCUUUAGAUAAGGGAUCGUACAACCCACUAUUUUGAUAUCGGGCAGACGAUUUCAUGAGACAUAGUCAUUCUCGUCGUCCAACAACUUUUUCUUGAUCUCAGAUUUAUUUGACGUAGAACUUAAUUGAACACAUCAAUUCAGUCCUCACCGGGACUGACACAUUAGUCAAAUCAAACCAUCAAGCGGCCGUGAUAUCGCUUUUACCUUCUUAGAUAAAAGUAACAGAUAAACUUCGACUUAUAUGCAUUUACUUAUCAACUAACCAACUAUACACAACAAUGUGUUUUAUGACAUCAAUUUACUGAUGCGGUUUCGCAUUAUCAAUGUACAACCAAUUAGUAAAUAAUAAACCAUAUAUCUAGGUUUUAAGACCAUAUGAUAUUAUCGUCUUGCGAUCAAUUCAAAGUGAUUCCAACAAGCGUGGGUUUAUUCCAAUGCUCAAAACUUGUUCAUAAGCACUCAUGAAUGCUGCAGCAACUCUUUGCUAUGUCUAAUACCAUUUAGACAUUCUACAAACCAAUUCAUGACAAUCUUCAUUCAUACCUACUUCCAACAUAUGAACGAUUGUGGACUGUUUGAAUAAGUUGAUUAUUCUUAAUAAACAUAAUUAUUCUGGAAGUCAAAACAUGCGAAGUGAAACAAUAGCUAAACAAAUUAACAUAAGACAGUGACAAUACUUAUAAAUAACACUCCUUUAUUUAAUCAUCAAAUGUCAAUUACAUUUAUCUAUUACAUGUUUCUAAUACUAUCUAAUCUAAACUAAUAUCAUCCCUCAGCCCAAUACUCCUAGCAUGCUGCAAGUGCUUGACCCUGCUCAAUCACUUCGUAAACGGAUCUGCUGGGUUAUCUUCUGCUGAUGUCCUCUUAACCACGAGGUGUCCUUCUUCUACUCGAUGCCUAAUAAAGUGAUUUUAUUGUCGAUAUGCCAAGAUCUACCAUGAUCCCUCGGUUCCUUGGUCAAGGCAACCGCUUCUUCAUUAUCACAGAAAAUCUCCAUGGGCUCCCUAAUGGCUGGCACAACUCCAAGAUCGCCAAUUAAGUUCUUCAACCAUAUUGCCUCCUUUGACGCUUCGCUCGCUGCAAUAUACUCUGAUUCGCACGUUGAAUCAACUACAGUUUCCUGUUUUGAACUUUUCCAUGUUACCGCUCCUCCAUUAAGGGUAAAGACCCAUCUCGAUUGCGAACGGUAGUUGUCCAUGUUGGUCUGGAAACUGGCGUCACUAUACCCUCGCACCUUUAAGUCGUCACUCCCUCCGAGGACUAGAAACCAUUCCUUGGUCCUCCGAAGGGACUUAAGAAUGUUCUUGACCGCAAUCCAAUGCGCUCUACCAUGAUUCCCUUGAUAUUUACUGACCAUGCUCAAAGUGAAGGCCACAUCAGGUCGAGUACAAGUCAUAGCAUACAUGAUCGAGCCAACUACGGAAGCGUAAGGUAGUCGGUUCAUCUCAACUAUCUCAGCUUCGGUACUCGGAUUUUGAGUCUUACUCAAUUUGGUAUUACUCUGUAUCGGUAGUUCUCCCUUCUUCAAGUUUUCCAUACUAAAACGUUUUAGUACCUUAUCUAAGUAAGUAUUCUGACUAUGUCCUAUUAGUCUCUUACUUCUUUCUCUCACUAUCCUUAUUCCCAAAAUAUAGGAAGCCUCUCCGAGGUCCUUCAUAGCGAAGCACUUCCUGAGCCAGGACUUCACCUCCUGCAGAGUCGGGACGUCCUUUCCUAGGAGCAGUACGUCAUCGACAUACAAAACGAGAAAGCUAACUAUGCUCCCAUUGGCUUUGACAUAUACACAUGAUUCAUCUUUGCUUCGUAGAAAUCCAAACUCUUUGACUUUCUCAUCAAGGCAAAGAUUCCAUCUGCGAGACGCUUGCUUAAAUCCAUAGAUGGACUUCUCAAGCUUGCAAACUCUAUUCGGAUGCUUCGGAUCGACAAAACCCUCUAGCUGAGCCAUAUAAACAUCCUCAGCCAACUUCCCAUUAAGGAAAGCAGUAUUGACAUCCAUUUUCCAUAUUUCAUAAUCAUGAAUUGUGGCAAUACCUAGCAUCACUCUAAUAGACUUUAUCUUCGCAACUGGUGAGAAGUUCUCAUCAUAGUCAACUCCGGGAGUUUGAGUAAAGCCCUUCGCAACCAAUCGCGCCUUGUACAUGUGCACAUUCCAAUUCAUGUCGGUCUUCUUCUUGAAGAUCCAUUUGCACCCAACCGUCUUACGUCCGGGCACAUUGUCAACCAAAUUCCAAACUUGGUUGUCAUACAUGGACUAAAUCUCGCUGUCCAUUGCCUCUUUCCAUUUUUCAUACUACAGGCCUGCCAUGGCUUCCUUAUAGCUAUUAGGUUCAUCUAGAUUUAUUAGUGUACCAUCACUUAUAUACGUGUCCCCUUCAGUAGUAAUAUGAAAACUAUAAAACUGGGGUUGAACUCUAACUCUUUCGGAACGUCUAAGAGGUAAUGACUCGUCAAUGGGUUUAACCGGAGUUUCCUCCUCGGGUUGAGCGUCAGCGGUGGAGGUUCCUUCAUCAUUCGACUCUUGAAUCUCUUCAAGAUCGAUUUGCCUCCCACUGUCUCCUUGGUUUAUGAGUUCUCUCUCUCGAAAAACCCCUCUCCUCGCAACGAAGACCACAUUGUCAAUCGGUCUAUAGAAGAGAUAUCCAAAGGAUUUCUGUGGGUAGCCGAUGAAAAUACAUCGAUCACUAUGAGCUUCGAGCUUGUCAUGAGUUUCUCGUCUUACGAACACUUCACAAGCCCAAACCUUGAUAUGUGCCAACGAGGGAGCUUUCCCUGUCCACAUCUCGUGAGGUGUUUUGGCAACCUUCUUAGUAGGGACUCGGUUAAGGAUAUGGCCGGCAGUCUCUAAGUAAUACCCCCAAAAUGAGAUAGGUAGUGAAGCACUACUCAUCAUAGAACGAACCAUGUCCAACAAGGUUCGAUUGCGCCUUUCCGCCACACCAUUUAACUGCGGUGUCCUAGGUGGCGUCAAUUGUGAAACUAUUCCACAUUCCAUGAGAUAGUCGUGGAAUUCAAGACUUAGGUACUCUCCUCGUUGAUCGGAUCAAAGCAUCUUGAUUUUUCCUGCACAAUUGAUUCUCUGCUUCAUUCUUGAACUCUUUUAACUUUUCAAAUGUUCCAGACUUGUGCUUGAUUAAGUAAAUAUACCCAUAUCUACUAUAAUCAUCAGUGAAAGUCACGUAGAAGCGGUUUCCAUCCUUUGUGGUGGAUCUAAAGGGCCCGCAUACAUCGGUAUGUAUGAGAUCUAAUAAACCCUCACCCCUCUCACAAGUGCCAGUGAAGGGUGACUUGGUGAUCUUUCCAAGUAAACAAGAUUCGCACGUGUCAUCUUCCCUAAGGUCGAAUGACUCCAACACUCCAUCCUUUUGGAGUUGGGCUAUGCGCUUCUUGUUGACAUGUCCAACACAACAAUGCCAUAAAGAUGCCUUAUACAUACUGCUGGAAAAAUCUAUACACAACACAUCAUUUCCUAGGUUAUCUACAACCAUAAGAGUCUCAUAAAUUCCAUUACAAGGCAUUGCUUCAAAGUAUAAAACACCAUUUAGAUAAGCAUAAAUAGAACCAUUGUGACAACCCAAAAUUUCCAUUCUGAACAAACCAUAUCAAGCCAAUAGAAGUAGAACAGUUACAGUGAAAACUCAGAUUUCGAGUAUAAGUUUGGCAGUUUUCAGGAUUUUACACUUCAGGAGAUAUUAGGAGAGUCAAUGCACUAGGGUUCUGUGCAACACUGUUAUUCCAAUACUCUAGUAUAUUAGAGUUCAUUCUGAGUAUAGAAAUAUUUUCUGCCACAAAUCUCAGGAUUAUAAAUAGAAUUAUGAACCAAAUUGGUUCAUUAGUUGAAUUCCAAUUAGAGAAAAGCCAAAUUCUCUCUCACGGAUCUUCGGGUUUUUAUCCCAAAUUGUGAGUAACUCUUUCUAGUAGUGUUAGAAAGCUUUCAAUGUGUUCAUAACAUAGAUUACAUAGCUAAAUCAUCCGAUUUAGGAGUUUACUCCCCAAGGUGUUCUUGGGUGGUAAACUCCCGAAACCAAGCCUAGAUUGUCCCCCGUGAUGUACUACUGCCUUGGACUUGUAUAGGAGUGUAUUAGGGACAUGAAAUCAACCAAGAAUCACCCAAGUUUGGUAGUUCACGGCCCAAGAAUAUCUUAGGCCGUAAACUCCAAGAAUAGUGCUCAAAAUGGUGCUUUUAAGGCACCCAAGGCUUAGACUUUAUUUUAGACAUGUACCCUAAAGUGUUUAAAGCCUAGAAAACAUAAGAAAUCACUAUUAUUGAGGAGUUUACGGCCAAGACAAGUUCUUGGGCUGUAAACACCUAUAAAGGGGUCAAAUGACACCCUAACUCCUUCCUUAAGCCAAGAGACCAAUUUGGGCAUGUACAUAAAUGAGUUUUGGACUAGAUAACACGCUUAGAACACCAAGAGUGAGGGAGUUUACGGCCCUAAAGGUUCUAGGGCCAUGAACUCCAUAAAAUGGUGCCAAAUGGUGCCAUAAACUCUUCUAAAGCCAAGUACAAAAGCCUAGUUUAGUUCCUAGUUAAUUUAGAGACUUGAAAACACCAUAACCACCCUCCCAAGGGAGUUUACGGCCGUAAACUCCAAGGGUAUAUGGUCCCUGGGCCGUAAACUCCUUAAAGGAGUUAAUAUGACACCCAAACACUUGAUUUAGCCUUGAAACAAUUCACCACAUGAGUUGUAUAAUUGUUUAACUUCAUUUAGGUGCUUUGUUGAGAGUUUACGGCCAGGAGUUUACUCCCCUAGGCCGUAUACUCCAAGACAUAUGGUUAUUUGACCAUAAACUUCCAUUAGAGACAUUGCACUCCUUUGUUGCAACCCAUUAGCCUCCUAACACUUGACCAAAAGUGUUUUCCUCGUGUUUAAAUGUUUAUACUUGGAUAAUUAGUGUUUUAAUCACUAAUUAUUUAUAUACAUAUGUCUUCAUAUGUAAUUAGGAUCAUUGUGUGUGUCUAAAGUCUGCACUUGACACCGAGCACUUGCCCGAUCCUUCCUUACGAUAACAGUCCGUUCAAUUCCAGUCACUUACUGCAGGUGAGUUCAUACCCCUUAACUAAUGUUUUAAACUAUUUUUAAAUGUUUUAUGGGGGGGAUACAAGUAGAAUCAUGCUAGUUAUUAUAUCAAUCACAUGUGAUUAAUAAGUAUAAUUAUGCUAGUUAUUACAUCAAUCACAUGUGAUUAAUAUACAGCAUUCAAACGAUUUGGCUACUCAUUAGCCGUUUUACCAAACAGUUUCCUUCCAAUGAUUUUUGUAAACAUUUUAUAUGUUUUGAACUCCUUAUUACACUGUACAUUUUACUCUGUAUAUCAUAUUUCAAACUUAUUUAAAAUUGUGUUUCAAACAAAUGUUUCUUUAUACUAAAUUGUUUUAUCAAACCCAUGCCUUCAAACUGUUUUAUAGAUUGACAUCAAGUCGAUCUUUUCUUAAGAUAAUAUUUAUGUUCAAAUGUUUUACAAAACUUAUUUAUGUUUUUAUAUUAUAAAUUGCAUGCCUCUAUAUGUAUAGUUAUAUAAGAAAUGUUUAAAAGACUUAGGAAGGCUAUCCACCCUAUUUCCUUUUCGCGCUUGAGAUGUGGUCUGGUGGGAUAUCGGGUACUCAUCCGAAGGUCGUUUAAAUAUUAGUUAUAUAUCAUGUGUACAUAUAUAGUCAUAAAAGGUCCUUCCAGUUCAUCCCAUGCCCUUGGGUAGCAAGGGUAUACAUCCAUGUCCAUACGUACCAGUUAGAUUACUAGUAAACUACCAUAUGGGUAGUUUAGGAAGAUACUAGAACUAUUACUAGAACGCGAUAUCAUACAAUGAGUCAGUUCAUUCAUGAGUCAAUACUUUCUAGAACAUUACAGUACAUUACAUAUACAACUAUACUAGGAAGAGAACAUAUACAACUAUACUAGAAUGAUUACAUUACUAUACUUGCUAGGUAGAGAGCACGUACAUUACAGCUAGAACAGUUCAUUACAUUACAUAUACAAGAAUACGUUAAUUAUUGUGAUUUAAAUCGGAGCAUGACUUAAAUGUCAUGGCCCGAGUUGUAGCCAGAGUCUCUUGGAGGGAGAGCGUGAGUUUGCGUAUAGAUCUAUACUGGAUUGACUAUCCUACACCUUGCUGCUAGCUACAGCCGGACCUGCAGGUCUGCGGGUGCCAAACGUCAUUCCGUUAUUACGACCAUUCGUAUGUCGUUGUUACCAGUCGAUAGUAUGGUGCAAUUAAUCACAUGAUGCCUUAAUAUAAAUCCGGUUUAAGGUAGUUAGUACAGCAGUAGUUCUUAUAGCGCUACGUUUUAGUACUACAUUAAUUUUCCCUGUACAUAUAUUUAGUGAUCUUUUCACUUAAACUAUAAAUGUAAAAACUAUAUUUUGUUAAUAAUAGUUACACUUGGGAAAAUUACACACUUUUACAAGAAACGAACAUAUAGAACAGUUAAGUCUUGGUAGAAGACUACAUUGAGAACAGUUAGGUCUUGGUAGAAGACACCCUUAUAUAAUAGUAGGAAUCAUAGGGAUUUCUAGAGUUUUUCAAACGUUUACAGUUGUUUUACAAACAUUUUCAUACUUACAGUUCAUAUACAUUUUCAAUACUUACAAUUCAUUUACUUACAAAUUCUUACAUACAAAUUAAGACACUAAAUACUUAUGAUCUCACCAGCUUCAAAGCUGAUACUCGCUUUCAAAAUUACUUGUAUCCUCAGGUCAUCAUAGACAGGUACCGAUGCAAGGAGAAAGGAAGAUGGAGCUUGUUCAAGACUCAUCUUUCAUUUUGAUUUAUGCUUUAGUGUUUAUCAAAAUUUGACAGAACACAUUUGUAUAAUAAUUAUAUUAUUAAUGCAAUGGAUGAUGUUGUUGCUUGUUUACUACUUUACAUUGUUGUGAUACUGUACAUGACGUCCUCCGCCCCAGAACGUUUCCUCCGUUCUUGGUUUUGGGGUGUGAAAGAUUGGUAUCAGAGCAUUGUUUAUAGUGAAUUAAGUAUAUAUCAACCCAUAAAAGAUAUACUAACUAUAAAUACAUAAGGGAUUAAAAAUACUCUAACCAAGAGUUUAUACUUUAAAUAAUAUACGUGCCUGCAUUCAAACUAAAAUCGGUGUCACUAGGACAGUACAAAAGAAUUACGAUUGUUGGGCAACACAAGUGGGCUUAGAGACAUAUGGUCAAAACUGGGAAGAUAUAGCCUGAUCACCUAUAUUAUCCGAGGGUUGACUAGCAUGUGCCGAAGUUUAAUUGUGUGGUUGCAACAAUGCUAAAAUCUUACCAACCCUACCACAAUGAGAACAAUAGAACAUAACAUAAAAAUUAAAAAUACUAUAGGAGUAUUUGGUGUUACUAUAAGUACUUUAUACGUGAGAACUAAAACAGGAUCUUCAUUACUAAGUUGAUAGUUGCUAAGUGGAUACACUGAAGCUAUAUGUAAUUAGGAUGUUAUAGACUUAGAAUCUGUGAAAAUUUUACCUCACCGCUAUUCUGUGUGAAUAUGGAGUUGAGGUCACUUAUUCGAAGGUCUAUCCUGUUUAGAUUACACAUAGCUGGUAUGCACUUCACAAAUAGCGAUGUAACUAAUGAAGGUUUUCCUAAAUAAUUAUCUAGAUAGUUCGUCUAAUAAUUAUUCUUUUACCUUAAAUUCUCGCAUAGAAAACAUAGCUUGACUCCAUCCCCACAGCAACCAGUAUCUUCUGAAUGAAGUCAUAGUUGGUUGAUUUGGAGAAGAACCAGAGAAUGAUCAUCCUAUCCCAUUUGAAUGAUCACCAUGAUGAAGACCUUUCGUAUGAUGCUAACUCCGAACCAGAGGUUGAGAACCUACCCCGACCAGCUCCCUUUCCAAUUCCUAACCCUCGUCCGGCUUUUCAUGGCCCGACCCUGAGUGAGUGGAAUGCUUGGAAACAUGGAGCUAAGGACAAGAUCAGCCUAUGCCAUGUGAUGGAGACCGAAGCUUUUAUGACAUGAGCAAUGGGGGCUCAGCAGAUAGAGUCUUGCCAAUCUUGGUCCGCAGAGUGGCCCGAAAUGAGAUUACAGGUAGGACAGCCCUACAUCAGAUUACCGAAGUUGGCGCCUAUGCUAGAAUGCAUACCCUCCGGACAAUUCAUCUAGAAGAUGCUCACGAGAGAUCAGAGAAUAACCAUGAAACCUUGCUGCAAGCACUGGCUGAAUCACGAGUCGAAGUCAUAGAGCUCCGAGUACACCAGAAGGUGUACGGAAGACACCUACUUGAUGUAGAACGUUAAUUGGCUGAACUGAGAGUUCACCUGAGGGAUGACCGUCGUCAAUAGUAGAUUCUUUACCUUACUUUCCUUGUUAGAAAGUAAUCGUUUUCCGUCUUUGCCUGAUCUGGCAUUUUCUAUGAAAUUAUCUUGUACUGUAAGUACUUUUAGUUAGGUCCUUAUGCUGUUAGGAACUAUCUUCUCUGGAUAUGAUGUAAGACCUUUACAAGGUCAUUUUCCUGAAUCUUUACAUCGUGAAUAUCAAAGAUAUUGACAGCCGGCUAACUUAUGUGUCAUUCUUCAUUCAAGUACUCUUAUCAUACUCUCAUUGGAGUCUAUCUGAAACCUGCUUUUGUCAAGUCAUUGGACUAUAGCAAGUUAGAUCUGGAGACAUUUCCAUGUCUCUUUCAGUGGUUGGAUCAUGUUAGUCACCAACCCACGAUACCUAGGCUGGCACAACAAACGUUUUGAGACCAUUCUACGAACUUACUUCUACCCAUUAUAAAUAUUGUAUCGUAGGGAUGUAAGUGAACCUUCGUGAACAUACUUCCAUUCCGUACUAGGACUACAUCAUAGGGAUGUAGGUCAAACAUUGGAGAACAUAGUCUUACUCUUUUCUUGAACAAUCUAAGUACAUCUAGGGUCAACCUGAAUCGCUCACAAAUCCUUAUCUUUCAUGUUACAGAAUCAUGUCGUCAUCAGGAAACAAUCAGCCGAGCAACGAAACCCCCAUCCUCCAUAUCGACACCGCUACAUUAAAAGUUGCAGUAGCAGCUGCUGUGACAACUUUCCUUACACACAUCAACUCAGGCAACACUAACAAGACUGAAAAAGGAGUCGAGAGUUUAGAUGGUAGUACCAAAUCGGGAAACCAACAAACAGUAACAGUCACUGGCUCGCAAAGCCGAAAGACCGAGAACAAGAAACGAAAGUGUCAAGCCCAGAAAGAACGCAAGAAAUCCCAAAGGCUGGUCAUGCAACAGCAACAAGUGGAAACCCAAGCCAUCCCAGUACCGAGCAGGCCAUACGAGGGAAAACUCCCGAAGUGUGACAAGUGUAGUUUCCAUCAUCAUGGUGCUUGCCAUGAGAUGCAGUGUUGCAAUUGCCUAAAAAUAGGGCACCAUGCUCGUGACUGUGGAGCACCGGCACGACCCAUCACUCAAGUUCCUUUCAUCGGGACUAACCCUACACACGAGAGUAGUUAUAAUGCCGAACGCUUUAGGAACCAAUUUUCAAAGUGGAGUAACGAGGAAGGCACUCGUGUCCACAUAACAUUGGCUAAACACCACAAUCCCGUCACCAAAGCUAGUACUAGCCAGUCAUGCCACCAAUGCGGGGAGAUAGGGCACUUCAAGAAAGAUUUCCCGAUAGAAAAGAAUUCAGGUGGUGAUGGAAAGUUCUUAGGAUCACAGCUGCAGGAGAGCCUACUCCGGAACCCUUGUUAAUGUAACUUAGGCGUGUUGUUGUAACAGACAUAUAAACUAUCCAGAACUAGUGCAACUAGAGUCUUACCUUUUGCGAGAUCUUGUCUAUAUAAGGAUUCUCGUGCUGCGUAUACUUGUCUUUUGUAGUAUAUCUUAUUCGCAGCAAUAGUCUUGUGGUAAAUCUAAAGUACCGUAACUCUGUUCAUGGUUGCACGGUUGUGUUUUGUCUGUAAACGUCUUAUGUUCAAAUCUAAUGUCUUUAAGUUUCAGUAUGAUUCCGACAUUAUCAUACGACUCGAUUCAAGUUGUUCUUCACAAAAACAGCUUCAUAUGUACAUCUCUUUCUUCUAGAUCGCUUUUCCAGCGAAGUCGUUAUAUCAAAACACCGAAGUACUUAUGCAUGGAGUACCUCCUAGUUCUUUUCUUUUCCGAAGAAACCCCCGAAGUACCACUCGUGCAGUACGUCAAGUUCAAUCUAAGGAUUUAUACGAUUGAUCUAUCACUGAGAAAUGUAUGAAUAAGAGUGAUAUAUAUAAUCAAGGUUCUACAGGUUUAGAAUUGAUGAUUCCACUUUAACUUCUGUUUCCCCAAUGGGAUGUGAGCUUAAAGAAGAAUUAGUUAUUCGACUACCUUUUCAAUCUUAAUUAUAUACGACUCGUAUACACGAAAUUGUGAUUGUGAAACCAGGUAUGAAUCCUAAUAUGAACUUCAGGACGGAGAACUGCCUAAGCCUACGAGUAAUUGCAUCGUCAUGUGAACAAACUUAGAACCCAGUACGACUCUUGUAAACAGAUCACCCUAUAGUCUAAACACCCACGGAGAUACCAGAACAGUACAAACAACUUAGCAAACUGCACAACGAUAGAAUAAGAAGACUAGGCUUCUCACCCUGGAGAACCCCAAGUCUUAUUCUCCAAGAGAUCAGCGGAUUGCAUCGUAUGUGCCUCGGAUAUCGAGGACUCCGUCAAGAUUUCAUGGAAAUCGUUAUCUCUGCCUCGCAUUGAUGAAAUGGUUGAGCAAACUCAAGGAAAGAAUUUCUUUCAGAAAUGGAUAUGAGAUCCGAAUAUCACCAGUUCGAGUUUUAGGGAAGGAUGUCCAGAAGACUAUCUUCCGAACUCGAUGCGGACACUUCGAGUCCGUAGAGAUACCCUUCGGAUAGGACCAAUACGCCCAUAGCUUUCAUAAGCUAAAUGAGUAGGGUACGUCUUUCUUACUUGGAUCAAUUCGUCAUUUCUCCAUGUAAUGACUUACUUUUCUACCCUCGUAGUAAGAAGAAAACCCAUGGAAACAUUUCCUACAGAGGAACUUUAGCGAAGUUCUCUAGGCACGAGUUUUGAAAUUGAAGAGUCAAAUUUCUAUGACACACUGUUAGUAAUGUGAGAAAUUAUGAGCACUCUUUCAAUUUGUCAAAACCGUUGAGCAUUUAUCGACACUAGAGACGCUGACAGUCCUUCACCAAAUUUUAGGUCUUACCGACCUACCGUCUUAGUUCAUUCAGAACUCCUCGCAAAUUACAGAAACCCGUACGACUUUGACCUAGCAAGGGGUGGCCUUUGACUGGGAAGUUAAGCAAUAAGAGGAACCUUUGGAAUUCCAAGUGAGUGACCAAGCUCUUUAGGUUAACUCACUCUGUGAAUGGCUUAAUACGCUUCGUAUCGCGUGGAAAGCUAAAUCCAAUAUAGUUAGGACCUCCGAGAUCCUCAUCAGAAUCGGUCAUGUGCCUCGCACAAACUAGACCUACUCCGCGAACUCAGUAACGUACAUCCUACUCUUCGCGUCUUGAUCGUGGAACCAUACCUUUCCGUUAGGACUCUUGUAAGUCCACUCGUCGAGAUCCUCGCCUUCGUAUUAGAACCGUAGUGACCCUCGACUGAGAGGUCCAGCGGACGAAGCAACGUCGUCGCCAGUUAGUGAAGGUUCGUUGGAAUGGCAACGGAGAACCCGAUUUCACUUAAGUGCGAGAACCAAUCGAUUAAGGAAGUUUCCCCCUCACGACUCGAUCAUUCGUGCGUACUUCCUUGCCUAAAUUCUAAUUUCGGGACGAAAUUCCCAUGAACAGGGGAAUGAUGUGACAACCCGAAAUUUCCAUUCUGAACAAACCAUAUCAAGCCAAUAGAAGUAGAACAGUUACAGUGAAAACUCAGAUGUCGAGUAUAAGUUUGGCAGUUUUAAGGAUUUUACACUUAAGGAGAUAUUAGGAGAGUGGAUGCACUAGGGUUUUGUGCAACAUUGUUAUUCAAAUACUCUAGUAUAUUAGAGUUCAUUCCGAGAAUAGAAAUAUUUUCUGCCAAAAAUCCCAGGACUAUAAAUAGAAUUCUGAACCAAGUUGGUUCAUUAGUUGAAUUCCAAUUAUAGAAAAGCAAAAUUCACUCUCACGGAUCUUCGGGUUUUUAUCACAAAUUGUGAGUAACUCUUUCUAGUAGUGUUAGAAAGCUUUAAAUGUGUUCAUAACACAGAUUACAUAGCUAAAUCAUCCGAUUUAGGAGUUUACUCCCCAAGGUGUUCUUGGGUGGUAAACUCCCGAAACCAAGCCUAGAUUGUCCCCCGUGAUGUAGUACUGCCUUGGACUUGUAUAGGAGUGUAUUAGGGACAUGAAAUCAACCAAGAAUCACCCAAGUUUGGGAGUUCACGGCCCAAGAAUAUCUUAGGCCGUAAACUCCAAGAAUAGUGCUCAAAAUGGUGCUUUUAAGGCACCCAAGGCUUAGACUUUAUUUUAGACAUGUACCCUAAAGUGUUUAAAGCCUAGAAAACAUAAGAAAUCACUAUUAUCGAGGAGUUUAUGGCCAAGAAUAGUUCUUGGGCCGUAAACACCUAUGAUGGGGUCAAAUGACACCCUAACUCCUUCCUUAAGCCAAGAGACCAAUUUGGGCGUGUACCUAAAUGAGUUUUGGACUAGCUAACACACUUAGAACACCAAGAGUGAGGGAGUUUACGGCCCAAAAGGUUCUAGGGCCGUGAACUCCAUAAAAUGGUGCCAAAUGGUGCCAUAAACUCUUCUAAAGCCAAGUACAAAAGCCUAGUUUAGUUCCUAGUUAAUUUAGAGACUUGAAAACACCAUAACCACCCUCCCAAGGGAGUUUACGGCCGUAAACUCCAAGGGUAUAUGGUCCCUGGGCCGUAAACUCCUUAAAGGAGUUAAUAUGACACCCAAACACUUGAUUUAGCCUUGAAACAAUUCACCACAUGAGUUGUAUAAUUGUUUGACUUCAUUUAGGGCUUUGUUGAGAGUUUACAGCCAGGAGUUUACUCCCCUGGGCCGUAAACUCCAAGACAUAUGGUAAUUUGACCAUAGAGUUCCAUUAGAGGCAUUGCACUCCUUUGUUGCAACGCAUUAGCCUCCUAACACUUGACCAAAAGUGUUUUCUUCGCGUUUAAAUGUUUAUACUUGUAUAAUUAGUGUUUUAAUCACUAUUUAUUUAUAUACAUAUGUCUUCAUAUGAAAUUAGGAUCAUUGUGUGUGUCUAAGGUCUUCACUUGACACCAAGCACUUGCCCGAUCCUUCCUUACAAUAACAGUCCGUUCAAUUCCAGUCACUUACUGCAGGUGAGUUCAUACCCCUUAACUAAUAUUUUAAGCUAUUUUUAAAUGUUUUAUGGGGGGGUGAUACAAGUAGAAUCAUGCUAGUUAUUAUAUCAAUCACAUGUGAUUAAUAUACAGCAUUCAAACGAUUUGGCUACUCAUUAGCCGUUUUACCAAACAAUUUCCUUCCAAUGAUUUUUAUAAAUACUUUAUAUGUUUUGAACUCCUCAUUACGCUGUACAUUUUACUAUGUAUACCAUAUUUCAAACUUAUUUACAAUUGUGUUUCAAACAAAUGUUUCUUUAUACUAAACUGUUUUAUCAAACCCAUGCCUCAAACUGUUUUAUAGAUUGACAUCAAGUCGAUCUUUUCUUAAGAUAAUAUUUAUGUUCAAAUGUUUUACAAAACUUAUUUAUGUUUUUAUAUUAUAAAUUGCAUGCCUCUAUAUGUAUAGUUAUAUAAGAAAUGUUUAAAAGACUUAGGAAGGCUAUCCACCCUAUUUCCUUUUCGCGCUUGAGAUGUGGUCUGGUGGGAUAUCGGGUACUCGUCCGAAGGUCNUGUGGUCUGCUGGGAUAUCGGGUACUCAUCCGAAGGUUGUUUAAAUAUUAGUUAUAUAUCAUGUGUACAUAUAUAGUCAUAAAGGCCCUUCCAGUUCAUCCCAUGCCCUUAGGUAGCAAGGGUAUACAUCCAUGUCCAUACGUACGUUUAGAUUACUAGUAAACUUCCAUAUGGGUAGUUUAGGGAGAUACUAGAACUAUUACAAGAACGCGAUAUCAUACAAUGAGUCAGUUCAUUCAUGAGUCUAUACUUGCUACAUAGAGAGCACAUACAUUACAGCUAGAAGAUUUCAUUACUACGAGUACAUAUAAAACUAUACUAGAGAAUAACAUAUACAACUAUACUAGAAUGAGAACUUAUACAACGAUACUAGAACGAUUACAUUACCAUACUUGCUAGGUAGAGAGCACAUACAUUACAGCUAGAACAGUUCAUUACAUUACACUUACAUUAAUAUGUUCAUAAAAUUGUGAUCCACUGUGUCGGAGCAUGCCUUAAAUGUCAUGGCCCGAGUUGUAGCCAGAGUCUCUUGGAGGGAGAGCGUGAGUUUGCGUAUAGAUCUAUACUGGAUUGACUAUCCUACACCUUGCUGCUAGCUACAGCCGGAUCUGCAGGUCUGUGGGUGCCAAACGUCAUUCCGUUAUUACGACCAUUCGUAUGUCGUUGUUACCAGUCGAUAGUAUGGUGCAAUUAAUCAUAUGAUGCCUUAAUAUAAAUCUGUUUUAAGGUAAUUAGUACUGCAUUAGUUCUUAUAGCGCUACGAUUUAGUACUACAUUAAUUUUCCCUGUACACAUAUUUAGUGAUCUUUUCACUUAAACUAUAAAUGUAAAAACUAUAUUUUGAUAAUGAUAGUUACACUUGGGAAAAUUACACACUUUUACAAGAGACGAACAUAUAGAACAGUUAAGUCUUGGUAGAAGACUACAUUGAGAACAGUUAGGUCUUGGUAGAANAAGUCUUGGUAGAAGACUCCCUGUUAUAAUAGUAGGGAUCAUAGGGAUUUCUAGGGUUUUUCAAAUGUUUACAGUUGUUUUACAAACAUUUUCAUACUUACAGCUCCUAUACAUUUUCAAUACUUACAAUUCAAUUACUUACAAAUUCUUACAUACAGAUUAAGACACUAAAUACUUAUGAUCUCACCAGCUUCAAAGCUGAUACUCGCUUUCAAAAUUACUUGUAUCCUCAGGUCAUCAUAGACAGGUACCGAUGCAAGGAGAAAGGAAGAUGGAGCUUGUUCAAGACUCAUCUUUCAUUUUGAUUUAUGCUUUAGUGUUUAUCAAAAUUUGACAGAACACUUGUAUUAUAAUUCUAUUAUUAAUGCAAUGGAUGAUGUUGUUGCUUGUUUACUACUUUUCAUUGUUGUGAUACUGUACAUGACGUCCUCCGCCCCAGAACGUUUCCGCCGUUCUUGGUUUUGGGGUGUGAAAGAUUGGUAUCAGAGCAUUGUUUAUAGUGAAUUAAGUAUAUCAACCCAUAAAAGAUAUACUAACUAUAAAUACAUAAGGGAUUAAAAAUACUCUGACCAAGAGUUUAUACUUUAAAUAAUAAAAUAUUUAAGUAAGUAUACGUGCCUGCAUUCAUACUAAAAUCGGUGUCACUAGGACAGUACAAAAGAAUUACGAUUGUUGGGCAACACGAGUGGGCUUAGAGACAUAUGCUCAAAACUGGGAAGAUAUAGCCUGAUCACCUAUCCGAGGGUUGACUAGCAUGUGCCUAAGUUUAAUUGUGUGGUUGCAAAAAUGCUAAAAUCUUACCAACCCUACCACAAUGAGAACAAUAGAACAUAACAUAAAAAUUAAAAAUACUAUAGGAGUCUUUGGUGUUACUAUAAGUACUUUAUACGUGAGAACUAAAACAGGAUCUUCAUUACUAAGUUGAUAGUUGCUAAGUGGAUACACUGAAGCUAUAUGUAAUUAGGAUGUUAUAGACUUAGAAUCUGUGAAAAUUUUACCUCACCCCUAUUCUGUGUGAAUAUGGAGUUAAGGUCACUUAUUCGAAGGUCUAUCCUGUUUAGAUUACACAUAGCUGGUAUGCACUUCACAAAUAGCGAUGUAACUAAUGAAGGUUUUCCUAAAUAAUUAUCUAGAUAGCUCGUCUAAUAAUUAUUCUUUUACCUUCAAUUCUCGCAUAGAAAACAUAGCUGGACUCCAUCCCCACGGCAACCAGUACCUUCUGAAUGAAGUCAUAGCUAGUUGGUUUGGAGAAGAACCAGAGAAUGAUCAUCCUAUCCCUUUUCAAUGAUCACCAUGAUGAAGACCUUUCGUAUGAUGCUAACUCCGAACCAGAGGUUGAGAACCUACCCCAAGCAGCUCCCUUUCCAAUUCCUAACCCUCGUUCGGCUUUUCUUGGCCCGACCCUGAAUGAGUGGAAUGCUUGGAAACAUGGAGCCAAGGACAAGAUCAGCCUAUGCCAUGUGAUGGAGACCGAAGCUUUUACGACUUGAGCAAUGGGGGCUCAGCAGAUAGAGUCUUUGCAAUCUUGGUCCACAGAGCGGCCCGAAAUGAGAUUCAAGGCAGGACAGCCCUACAUCAGAUUACUGAAGUUGUCGCCUAUGCUAGAAUGCAUACCCUCUACACCAUUCGUCUAGAAGAUGCUCAUGAGAGAUCAGAGAGAAACCAUGAAACCUUGCUGCAAGCGCUGGCUGAAUCACGAGCCGAAGUCAUAGAGCUCUGAGUACACCAGAAGGUGUACGAAAGACACCUACUUGAUGUAGAACAUCAACUGGCUGAACUGAGAGUUCACCUGAGGGAUGACCGUCGUCAAUAGUAGAUUCUUUACCUUGCUUUCCUUGUUAGAAAGUAAUCGUUUUCUGUCUUUUUCUGAUGUGGCAUUUUCUAUGAAAUUAUCUUGUACUGUAAGUACUUUUAUUUAGGUCCUUAUGUUGUCAGGAACUAUCUUCUCUGGAUAUGAUGUAAGACCUUUACAAGGUCAUUUUCCUGAAUCUUUACGUCGUGAAUAUCAAAGAUAUUGAUAGCCGGCUAACUUCUGUGUCAUUCUUCAUUCAAGUACUCUUAUCAUACUCUUAUUGGAGUGUAUCUGAAACCUGCAUUAGUCAAGUCAUUAGACUAUAGCAAGUUAGAUCUGGAGACAUUUCCAUGUCUCUUUCAGUGGUUGGAUCAUGUUAUUCACCAACCCACGAUACCUCGGCUGGCACAACAAAUGUUUUGAGACCAUUCUACGAACUUGCUUCUACCCAUUAUAAAUAUUGUAUCAUAGGGAUGUAGGUGAACCUUCGCGAACAUACUUCCAUUCCGUACUAGGACUACAUCAUAGGGAUGUAGGUCAAACAUUCGAGAACAUAGUCUUACUCUUUUCUUGAACAAUCUAAGUACAUCUAGGGUCAACCUUAAUCGCUCACAAAUCCUUAUCUUUCAUGUUACAGAAUCAUGUCAUCAUCAAGAAACAAUUAGCCGAGCAACGAAACCCCCAUCCUCCAUAUCGACACCGCUACAUUACAAGCUGCAGUAGCAGCUGCUGUGACAACUUUCCUUACACACAUCAACUCAGGCAACACAAACAAGACUGAAAAAGGAGUCGAGAGUUUUGGAUGGUAGUACCAAACCGGGAAACAAACAAACAGUAACGGUCACUGGCUCGCAAAGCCGAAAGACCGAUAACAAGAAACGAAAGUGUCAAGCCCAGAAAGAACGCAAGAAAUACCAAAGGCUGGCUAUGCAACAGCAACAAGUGGAAACCCCUGCCAUCCCAGUACCGAGCAGGCCAUACGAGGGAAAACUCCCGAAGUGUGAUAAGUGUAGUUUCCAUCAUCAUGGGGCUUGCCAUGAGAUGCAGUGUUCCAAUUGCCUAAAAAUAGGGCACCAUGCUCGUGCCUGUGGAGCACCGGCACGAUCCAUCACUCAAGUUCCUUUCGUCGGGACUAACCCUACACACGAGAGUAGUUAUAACGCCGAACGCUUUAGGAAGCAAUUUUCAAAGUGGAGUAACGAGGAAGGCACUCCUGUCCAGAUAACAUUGGCUAAACACCGCAAUCCCGUCACCAAAGCUAGUACUAGCCAGUCAUGCCACCAAUGCGGGGAGAUAGGGCACUUCAAGAAAGAUUGCCCGAUAACAAAGAAUUCGGGUGCUGAUGGAAAGAUUCUUAGGAUCACAGCUGCAGGAGAGCCUACCCCGGAAUCCUUGUUAAUGUAACUUAGGCGUGUUGUUGUAACAGACAUAUAAACUAUCCAGAACUAGUGAAACUAGAGUCUUACCUUUUGCGAGAUCUUGUCUAUAUAAGGAUUCUCGUGCUGCGUAUACUUGUCUUUUGUAGUAUAUCUUAUUCGCAGCAAUAGUCUUGUGGUAAAUCUAAAGUACUGUAACUCUGUUCAUGGUUGCACGGUUGUGUUUUGUCUGUAAACGUCUUAUGUUCAAAUCUAAUGUCUUUAAGUUUCAGUAUGAUUCCGACAUUAUCAUACGACUCGAUUGAAGUUGUUCUUCACGAAAACAACUUCAUACGUACAUCUCUUUCUUCUAGAUCGCUUUUCCAGUGAAGCCGUUAUAUCAAAACACCGAAGUACUCAUGCAUGAAGUACCUCCUAGUUCUUUUCUUUUCCGAAGAAACCCCCGAAUUACCACUCGUGCAGUACGUCAAGUUCAAUCUAAGAAUUUAUACGAUUGAUGUAUCACUGAGAAAUGUAUGCAUAAGAGUGAUAUAUAUAAUCAAGGUUCUACAGGUUUAGAAUUGAUGAUUCCACUUUAACUUCUGUUUCCCUAAUGGGAUGUGAGCUUAAAGAAGAAUCAGUUAUUCGACUACCGUUUCAAUCUUAAUUAUAUACGACUCAUAUACACGAAAUUGUGAUUGUGAAACCAGGUAUGAAUCCUAAUAUGAACUUCAGGAAUGAGAACUACCUAAGCCUACGAGUAAUCGCGUCGUCAUGUGAACAAACUUAGAACCCAGUACGACUCUUGUAAACAGAUCACCCUAUAGUCUAAACACCCACGGAGAUACCGGAAUAGUACAAACAACUUAGCGAACUGCACAACGAUAGAAUAAGAAGACUAGGCUUCUCACCCUGGAGAACCCCCAGUCUUAUUCUCCCAGAGAUCGGCGGAUUGUAUCGUAUGUGCCUCGGAUAUCGAGGACUCCGUCAAGAUUUCAUGGAAAUCGUUAUCUCUGCCUCGCAUUGAUGAAAUGGUUGAGCAAACUCAAGGAAAGAAUUUCUUUUAGAAAUGGAUCUGAGAUCCGAAUAUCACCAGUUCGAGUGUUAGGGAAGGAUGUCCAGAAGACUAUCUUCCGAACUCGAUGCGGACACUUUGAGUCCGUAGUGAUACCCUUCGGAUAGGACCAAUACGCCCAUAGCUUUCAUGAACUAAAUGAGUAGGGUACGUCUUUCUUACUUGGAUCAAUUCGUCAUUUCUCCAUGUAAUGACUUACUUAUCUACCCUUGUAGUAAGAAGAAAACCCAUGUAAACAUUUCUUACAGAGGAACUUUAGCGAAGUUCUCUAGGCACGAGUUUUGAAAUUGAAGAGUCAAAUUUCUAUGACACACUGUUAGUAAUGUGAGAAAUUAUGAGCACUCUUUCAAUUUGUCAAAACCGUUGAGCAUUUAUCGACACUAGAGACGCCGACAGUCCUUCACCAAAUUUUAGGUCUUACCGACCUACCGUCUUAGUUCAUUCAGAACUCCUUGCAAAUUACAGAAACCCGUACGACUUUGACCUAGCAAGGGGUGGCCUUUGACUGGGAAGUUAAGCAAGAAGAGGAACCUUUGGAAUUCCAAGUCAGUGACCAAGCUCUUUAGGUUAACUGACUCUGGGAAUGGCUUAAUACGCUUCGUAUCGCGUGGAAGGCUAAAUCCAAUAUAGUUAGGACCUCCGAGAUUCUCAUCAGAAUCAGUCAUGUGCCUCGCACAAACUAGACCUACUCCGCGAACUCAGUAACGUACAUCCUACUCUUUGCGUCUUGAUCGUGGAACCAUACCUUUCUGUUAGGACUCUUGUAAGUCCACUCAUCGAGAUCCUCGCCUUCGUAUUAGAACCAUAGUGACCCUCGACCGAGAGGUCCAACGGACAAAGCAACGUCGUCGCCAGUUAGUGAAGGUUCGUUGGAAUGGCAACCGAGAACCCGAUUUCACUUAAGUGCGCUAGAACCAAUCGAUUAAGGAAGUUUCCCCCUCACGACUCGAUCAUUCGUGCGUACUUCCUUGCCUAAAUUCUAAUUUCGGGAUGAAAUUCCCUUCAACAGGGGGAUGACGUGACAACCCGAAAUUUCCAUUCAGAACAAACAAUAUCAAGCCAA